rnacentral:lncRNA from 1 species
AGAGAAAGAAGUAUUUUUUGUACCUAAAGAAGUGGACCGAUUGGACCACACACAUUAGUGUGUACAAGUUGAAGUGCCUUACUUGUUCUUGAUGUACUCUCCUUUGGAAAACUCUUCCUUUCAUGUUUUCCAAGAAGACAAGCUUCACACAAUUGAUUAGGAUGGUUGAUUGACAGUAUCCCAUCAACCAUGUUCUUGUAUCCCAUUGAUUUGAGCGCUUAAAGUUCAAGUGCCCAAAUCUCAUAUGCCAACACCAGGAGUCAUCCUGCACAUUACAUCGAUAGUUUGAAGAUUCAAAGGAAACAACCUAUUCUUUGCCAUAUGAACUUUAACAAUUAAGUUGUUAGUUGAAUCUCUUAACCAAAGAUGCAUAUUUUUUCAUAUGAAUAUCAUAUCCUUUUUCAAGAAGUUAACCCAAACUCAAAAUAUUACUUUUCAAUUUUGGCACAUAAUAAACAUUGGUAAUCAAUUUAUGACCACCAUCUUUACAGGAUAUGAGAAUCAUACCUAUCCCUUCAAUUUGGAUCAUUGAGGUAUUUCCAAAAGACACAUUACCUUUCACGGUCUUCUUUAUCUCCACAAAUUCAUCUUUGUGGCCACACAUAUGAUUUCUUGCUCCAUUGUCAAGAUACCAUGAGCUGCAAUCAUCUUUAUUUUCUUCUUUGAGUGUUAAUAAGAAUGUUGACUCAUCUUCAUCUUUGUUGUUGUCAACAAGAUUAACUUUCUCUUCAACAUUACUCCGACAUUCCCAAGGGUAAUUUCCCAUUUUAUGACAGUGAUAACACUCAAUUUAAGAUUUGUCAUACCUCAUUUAAUUUGUACCUUGAUAGGCUCCAUGUACUCUGCCUCCUCUAUGUACCUUGAUAGGCUCCACGGCCUUGCCAUUGUCCAUUUUCUUUGUAACUUUUCUCAUAUUCAAAUCCUUUGAAGGAUAUAUGAGUUUUAAGAAUUCACUCUAGUGUCUCUUGUUUUCUCCUUUUUAUUUUCUCUUCAUAGGCUAGAAUAGAACCUUUCAAUUGUUCUACCGUCAUAGAGUCUAGAUCUUUAUACUCCUCAAUAACACACACCGGAUAAUAAAAUUUAGGUUUUAAAGAAAGAAGGAUCUUUUCUACCGCGUGCACAUCAUCUACUUCCUCCCCAUAUCUUCUUAGUUAAUUUACAACAACCAUCCAUCUCUAGCAGAAGUCCAAACUGGAUUCGAAUCUAUUAUUUUUAAAACUUUAAAGUUAACCGUUAGAGUUUGAAGUUUUACCUACUUUACUUUACCAAAUCCUUGGAGAGAAUUUUGUAAAAUCUCCCACACUUCUUUUUAGGUGGUUGCAUCCUCUACAACAUCAUACCAAGAUAUGCUAGAUCUCCAGCACUAUAACAUGAUUCCUAAACCACUUACCCCUCCAAUCGUAACAAAUCCAAACACUGAUGGAUAAGAGUGAGGACCUGUUGAUCUUUCUUUUUUGUCUUCAACAAGAGAUCCUUUUCAUUUGAGGGAAAACUUUCCUCAUUUGCGUGUUUUGUAUACCCUUUGUCUACAAUAUCCCAAACAUCUUGAGAGCCAAGAAUGACUUUCAUUCGUAGACACCAUUUUCCAUUAUUUUCUUUUGUGAGAAGGGGGUACUGAAAGGACUAUGGAAUAUUAUUCUCAUGGCUCUGAUACCACGUUGUUGGACAAAAUGAUAAUCACACCCAGGAUAAUGUCCAAACUAAAUAGCAAUAGGAAGAGAGUAACAACGACACCAAAUAUUGAAAUGGGUAAAUAUGAUACCCGAAUAAGUAAUACAAUAAUAUUGAUGAAAAACUUGGUAGUAUCAAAAGACUACUACUCAACACUCUUUUAUUUAUUACAACACACAAUAAUAUUACUUCCACACUAUUUUCUCACAAACAAAGAAGUAGUUUGUGGAGUACUCUCUCUAUUCUCUAUUGCUUCUCUAUUUUGGUGUGUCUUCAAGUGUUCAAUUACUUUUCUAUUAUAUAGUUUUUUUGAAGACCUGAUUACAUCAUCAAUGAAAUAAUGUGGUAGACAAUUUCCACAAAAAAAUUGGCUGCCAAACUCUACCAAACUUAUACCAAACUUUGACUGCCUACUUCCACAAAUGUGGAUACCAAUUUUUACAUUGGUUCCUACCAAUUUUCCGAUUUUUGUAGAUAGUAAUUUCAACAAGUAUGGCUGUCAAAAUUAAUUGUUCAAGAUUUUAUUUCCACAGAGAACAAACUAUUAUAAUAUUGCUCAACUUCUUGGAUUAUAUCAGUUUGGUCUACCAGCCACCUCCCAUCAGUUGUCUGAUGGGUUGCCAUGUGAAAGUAUUGAAGUAUUUUUAUCCAGCAACCAUAAAGCUCUAGACUUCUUUUUCAAAAAAUUUUCUUCAUCGUUAUAGUCUUGGAUUAGUUCCCUUUUCAAUAACCUUAAUUUACUCCAGUCAAAAUUACUAGUGUUGUUCCUAAGGGCUGUAAUAUUCCCCUUAAUGUCAAUAAUUCUCCUUAUUGCAUUACCAUCACCUCCCCAAGCCAAGCCUCCAAAGCUCUACGACUAUGUAUGAUUCUAAAGCUAACUCGAGAUUGCUCAAAGCCAUUAAAAUCAUACGACCAAGCUUUUGAAAUAAUAUUUUGAACUCCUUAACUCUCAAUCCACCUUCAAUCAAAGUAAAAUCAUUUUUUCUUCCUAAUUGGUUCUGCUUCUGAAGACAACAUCAAGGAAGAAUGAUCCGAUGCGUCAGUUUCAAUAUGUUGCACAUUCGCAUUCUAGAAUUUGAUUUUUCAAUUAGGAGAGACUAAGACACAAUCUAGCCUUUCCUGGAUUAUACCCUAUAUAACCUAAGUCAAUUGCACCUAAGUUCCAGAUAAAAUUCUUGAAGUCUGUAAAGGUCCAAGUAGCUCUACUCCAUCUUCCUUGAUUUUCCGAUCCAUCAACAAUAUUAUUAAAUUCUCUUAUGCAUUUUUUAAAACUAACUCUUUCAUAUGAUAUCUACAAGUGACUCUAUCUGUACUUAGAUACAUAAAUAAACACCAAUAUUUGCAAUCACCUGAGCCAUCUUGUAACAAAGUUUUGAUAUAAAAGGAGAAGAAUGUGAUUCACAUACCUGGAUAGCGUCAUUCCAAAAUAAAGCUAGACCUCCUAAUAACCCAUCCGCUCCACAGUUACAGCGUGCACCAUAUUUGCUUGUCUUUGUACCCUUUUAACCGUGCUUUCUCUACUUUUUUUGUUUCACUUAAGAAAAUCAUACUUGGAGAGUGAAGACCUAUUAUCUCCUUCAAAAAGGAAACUGUCAAGGAUCCUGCCAAGCCUCGACAAUUCCACACCGUAGACCUCAUUGUGCUAAGGGAAGCCAUAAUUCUCUGCUCAAAUAAGCUUUCCUGAAAUGUGAAAGGCAAGAAGGACAAAAGGAUUUUGAUAAGAUUGGAAACAUACCGGGAAAGAGGUAAUGCCCUUUGAGAUAACUAUAUGUGACUCUUAAUUCCUAUACAAAAAGAAAAUUUGGAUGACUCAUUGGUCGAAAGAGUACUUAAUACGCCCUAAAUUCACGUGACUAGCAUUUGACUACAUGAGCUAAUCAAAUCUACACCUCGAUCGCACAUUUGACUCGACCUCGAAAACCAUUUGAAUUUUUUGAUACAUUUUCAAAUUAAUCAUCAAGUGUUCUCAAAUUUAAAACUAUACAUAAAUAAUUUCAUAAGAAAAAUAAAUGUGUCAACAAACAUUGUUAGGAAAUCAAUGCAAGUAUUCUUUGACGUAGAACAAAAUGCAUUAAAUGUCACAUAAUAAUUUAUUUUACAUUUGAGUUGCGGAGGAUCUAGUGUAAAUUUGAUUUAAAUCAACCUUAUAUACUUUCAAUUCCAUUCACAAGAUAAUUUAAAGAAAACCAUUAAAUCCCAUUUCAAUUGAAUUUAAUCAUAAGAAUCAUCUAAACGUUUUCAAAUCUUUUGUACCUUUAUUGGGGAGUAAUAUACUAUCACCAACACAAUAUCUAAGGCCAAUAGGUGAUUAACUUUGUGACAAACAUCAUAGAACCUACUUGCUCAUGUUCAAGUCAUCUCCGCGUACUAUUGCACGAAUUAACUCAACCCUAAUAGGUAGAGUCGACGUAUACACCGACAAGUGUAGUUUCAAGAUGCCAAUAAAAAUUUAUCUGAAGUCAAUCUACAUAAACAUAAUUAACUCCCAAAAUAUUUAAAUAUGUCAAAAACAAAUUUAUGGCCUAGUAGCUACUAAUAGUAAAUCAUGGCGUUCAUAACAAAUCCAACUCAUUUUGAUAGAAUCAAAUGUAAUUCUUUUUUACUAAAGUUAUAAAAGCAUAUGUCAAAUGAAGAUUUAAUACUUAAAAUAAUUAACUUUCAAAUAUUUGUCUCAAAGAGAUGAUAUUUCAAAAGAUCACUCAACUUUUGGAAUAUAUAUAGUAAAGUCAUUGGAUUUUGUAUUGUAUAAAUAAAAUUACUCAACUUAGACCUUUGAGAUAUCAUUAUUUAUGAAAUAGUCUUUUUUAAUCCUUAUUCUAAUCCCUCUUCAAAAGGGUUAGUUGUUUUUUUUUUUUCGCGAAACAAAACCCCUUUUAUUAUUGCAUCAACGGAAUACAUAGUUUAAACAUAUCUUUCGCAUCCUGGAUGAUCCAAAUCGGUAAAAUAUUCUCCAAAGAGAUUUCCUUCGACGUUCUGAUAAAAUCUUCACUCUCUUUCAUCCCAAUAUCGUUCGCAUCCUGGAUGAUCCAAAUCGGUAAAAUAUUCUCCAAAGAGAUUUCCUGCGACGAUGUGAUAAAAUCUUCACUCUCUUUCAUCCCUUACUGAUAGGAUAUUCAAGAGCUUUCCCAAUAGUAAUUGCUUCAGCAGGCAUGACUUCCCCAACACAAAUCUUACAAGUCUCAUCUACAUUUUGUAAGUCUUUUUGCUAAAUUACUAUGUAUGGGUAAAGAGUCAAGUACACAUUUUCUUAAAAAGUAUUUAAGCUUUUUAACUCCCAACUUCCACGAGAAGUCCGAAAAGCAUUUUGGAAAAGAGUGAUAACUCACUUGAGAUUUCGAGUUUGUCAAUGUCUUACCGAUCAAAUCCUUUGCGAGGUAGUAACUUGACUUAACUUCAUUGUUUCCUAUUUUUGUAUAUUUCCAUAUUAACCUAUCGUUAGAACCUGCAAUACAAAUUGGGAUAGACAAUAUAACACUAACAUCUUCUACUUCAAACAAUGGAUUUAGCUCUUGUAUUUCCCAUGAGUUCAUGUUCUUAUCAAUUGAAUCAGACACUACUAAAUCUAAAUUUCUAUGCCCAUGGAUACUCUUAGGGAUGAAGCCAUUAUUAUUUGGUAUCCGUGGGUCAAUCCAAACAUUAAUAUUUUUUCAAUCAGAAAUCCUCCAUCUUAAUCUUUUAGUCAAAAGUUCUUUCCCAUAUCCAAGAACCUGAAGAUGAUGUUGAAGCUUUAAGAAAGGUUGAAUUUGGAAAAUAUUUGAUUUUAUGAACUCUUGCUAUUAGAAGUCGCAAAGCUUGCUUAGAUAAUAAAGCCAUAUUUAAAGUUUUUAGAUCUCUAAAUUGAUCUAGGAUCAUAAUCUAUCCCAUUUCUCAUGAUGUAUCUUUUUUUUCUCUCCUUUGUUUGUCCCACCAAAAAUUUGAAAAAAGGGAUGUAAUUUUCUUACACAGACCAUCAGGGAUUUUUUUUGUUCAAAUUUCUCCUUAACGAGUUUGUAUAAUUUUUCACUCAACAGGUAAAACAUUAUCGAUAAGACGAUUGCCCAUCAGAAGUUGGGAGCAAGUCUCAACAACAUACAUAUCAAAGCAUCAAUGGAUCAUCAUCUGAAAGAAGAGAUUGCUUGAAGAAGUCAGAAGAGAGACAUUCUUCCAAAUCUUUGGCUAUAUGGAAAUUCCCUCCCAAGGUAAGCUUAAGUGGAGAUGAUAGAAAUUACCUUUAUUUGAAUAGCUUCUAUACGCAUUAUUUUGAUAACCCCAUUAAUUGUUGUUAUCUGUAGUCCCAAUUGAAUGAGAAAUGGUUAGUGGUUGCUGAUAAAGAGAGUUAAGAAGCCAGUAAGCAGGAGUAUAGGAAAAGGUGGGUGAUUGAGGCGGUUUUCCCUAACAAGUUUGCAGUUACUCCAAAGUAAGUAAUUUUUAGAUUUUUUUUAAUGUUUUGUUGCUUUCAUUGUCUUAAUUUUACUUGGUUUUAAUCUGUGAGUAUUUUUCUUUUUUUAUUUAACAGUCCUUAUAACUUGUCUGACCUAGAACAAGGAUAUGAUGAUAGUCAAACUCCAGUAGUCAGAACCAUUUCUAUAGAAGAAGAAGAACCAACUCAUGAUCUGACAGUUCUUGUAGCCACAGCUGUAGCUGCUCUUCAAGAGCAGGGUAGUCUGAUUGAUGCCAACUUAUUGGUGAGGCUUCUCCUAAACUUGAUAAAUGAACGUGGCAUGGCUACAAAUGUUGUUUCUCUCAAUGCUGCCCAUGCAGGAUCUGUAAAAUCUGUGCCCUUGAAAAUGACUAAGCCUAACAUCAGAGAGAAUAAGUCAAUAACAUAUUCCACUUUAGAGCUUGAUCUCAAAAAUAUCAAGAAACUCAUUAGCAAAUAUGGAGUACCUUACAAUGCAAGAGGAGAAAUUUCUAAGUUGGUUACCAGAUAUGGUCAUACCACCUUGCAGCCUAAGUUGACUCUUUCACCAAAUGUUGGGCCUUCCUCCUUGAUGACUAGUCACAAGGAUAUCAACAAUUACUGCAAUUCCCUUAUCAAGCAAUGUGGAGAAAAAACUGAGUCGAUGGUUAAUGAUGUCCUACAAAAUCCAAUUCCGUGCAGCUUGACACGUUGUAUUUUCUUUAAUAAACGUAAGGGAUGCCAUAAAGGCUUCUCUUGUAACUUCCUGCAUGAUAUAUCUGGUAAAAAGAGGUCUGGGAGGACAUCAGAAGGUCGGGAUUCAAAGAGACUGAAGUAAAGUGGGGAACAUUAAUAUGGCAUGACUCAAAGAGUUUUUUAAAAAUACAGGGAACAAGUGACAAACGCAGUUGCACAACUAUUUAAACAAAAGCACUCACUCCUUGAGAUGCAGACUUUUAAAACAUUAGAAUCAUAUUUUGGCUUGAAAAAAAAAUUUCUUUAAAUUUUGAUGAAGCAUUGUUUUGCCUUUACAAUAUUUCUAUUCCGAUAAAUCAUUGCUUUUCUCUCUUAAAUGCAAUUGCAGUAUGGCAUCGGCUAUAGUCGUCCCCCACUUUAAAAACUAAAAUGUCCAAGUUAUGUACUUUUGGUAUUCAAUAAUGAAUUCAAGAUGUUAAUUUGAAUUUUAAUCUUAUUCAACGGGAAUCAAUAAGGUAUAGAAGCAUUUGAUAGAACAAAGUGUAUUAAAUUCUUUGAAGCCAGUGAAAAUUGUACUAACGAAUAAUAACAAUAAUGAGAUGAAUACAUUACCCUUAAAUAUAAGCUAGUAAGAGAGGGACGAACAUGGCAUCCUAUAGUAGUACAAAAAGCAUUCUAAAGUGUACCGUGAAUGCUUUAAUGUUUUGCUCUGUCUGGCCCAAUUUUACUAGCGAUAGUGCUUUUAUAUACAUGUUUAAGAACUGAAAUCAUCUCUUCUCUUUGAUAGUUUCAUUUUCUAUUACUUUCUCUUCCGAGUCCUAGAAUUGGUAAGCCUUUUUAACGUUUUUUUUCAUCUGUUUUUUCUCUUCAAUGUUUAUCAUUCAAUCUCAAACUCAGUUCUUCAGUGUUACUUAUUAGAUUUUUUUUUAUUUUGGUAGGAUUUUGUUCUUGCAUGUUCCUAAUUUGGUUUGAUUCGUACUCAUAGAUGCUUGAUAAUUUCUGUUCGUUCCCCUUCUUAUUCUUCUCAAUUCUAUCCCUUUUUUUCUUUGGAAAGUUUACGUUAUUGAUAGUCACAAUCUGUUGGGUAUUCUGUUUCUGCCUCUUUUAUUGUGCAUUCUCUACUUUUUGAGACGUUUUUUGUAUAAUUUUGUGAUGAGAUCUUGAGAAAAUUCAUGCGCCACUCUGAUUAAUGAUUCUAAGCUCUUAACAAAAUUCAUUUGCAUAUGAUAACUAAUACAAGUGAGCAUAUAUAUAUAUAUAUAUAUAUAAAUAUAUUUAUUUAUUUAUUUAUUGUUACUACAAAACACAUGUUAUUUCAUUUUAUUAGGCUCUUGCUAAAACUAACAGUUGUUAGUUUCUUUAAUACAAAGUUUCUACAGUUUCAUUUUAUGUGAAAAAAUAGAGUAAAGGAUGAGCUUGAAAGUUGCAAAUAAAUAAACAAAAAGUAUAUGGAAAAAAGAACACUUAUCAUGAUCUUCAGUUUCGUGGAAUUACGUUUUUCAUAUUUAGAAAUGUUUAAAAUAUGAUAUAACGUAUCGUAGUUAUUCCUAUUAUACUAUAAUCGCGACAUUAAGAAGUUGUAAUAUUUAGACGUAAAGUAGGGUUGUAAUUAUGUCAACUUAAAGAAAGCACAAGAGUGGACAAGCUAAAGGUAAAACUCAACAUGUUCUCGGGUCACUAGAAACCUUUUGUCUGCUUUAGCUGGAUGAUGUACAAAAUUAAACUUGUCUGAGUAUACAUUCAAGGUGUUUGACAGUGUGUCCAAGUUGUCAUAUUUUGAAUAGUCUUACUCCUUUUUAUAGCAUACCAAGAAAAUCUCUAAAACAACUAAUGAUCGUGCCUGAGCCAAUAACUCGAGUGAUAGACUGGGGUUAUUGUCUCAGGUGAGCAGUGUCCUCACGAAUCUCAAAUGCAAUGUGGUUAAUGCUAAUGUGUCGGCUCACAAUGCGUAACAAUAGCUAGGUGAGGAAACGGGAGGUACAGUUAAUGAUCCGAAAAAAAUUGUCUAUGAUGAAGCAACUAUUGUGAAAUAUACUUAGAGGUAGCGAUGAAUUAAGGAAUUCCAAGGGUCUCUCAUAUAUCGAGAGAAGACAAUCACCAACUAAUGUUUGCAUACCAAGAUUAUGAACGUGCUGCUGGUGAAGGAUUGAAUGAAAAAGAGAGGCCUAAUGUGAGUGUCCCUAAUUGGUAAGAUAAAGACUACUCUAUUGUGACAAUCUGGUGAAAGGAUAAACCAAAGCUUCUCUCUGAAACAAUUUUUACAUUGCCGAUAUUGCAUAUGUGGUUUUCUAUGGCAAUGUUGAUGCUGAAGGACCAGUAGUGCACCAAGUACUACAAUUUUCUAUUAAUUUCGAAAUCUCUCUCAUUGUUUGAUUUUAUGAUUUUUUUUGAACUAAUAUUACAAACUGAGUUCUCAUUGAAGGAGUAUUGCAUUAGACAUUUUUGAACUAUGUACUACUAUAAUUCACCAUCCUUUAAUACGAGAAUCCAAAAAAUAACAUUCAAUUUCUUAAUUAGCAUCAGACCAAAUUCAACUUGAUAAGUCCAAAUAACAUUAUAAAAGUCAAUACUCACUACUAUAAGUUAGGAACUUGCCUUACAUCAAAUUUAAAGCUGAGAUAAAAAGAAAGAGUAAGAAAGCACAAGAAAAAAUGAGCACGGUGAAAAACAAAAGGAGAAUAACUUCGUUACACAUAGGAGUAUAAGACUUGUACAAUUCUCCCCUUUCUUCAAGGUUCAUGCUAUAACACAUAAUGAAAGUUGUUUUAUAGCUAUUUAUUACAUGAAACUUUUUAAUUGGAUGUCUCUGUCUUCUUCCUGAAUGGAAAUUCUUGAAUACAAAUCUCAAAAUUUUCUAGAAUUCUAUGUUGUUCAUUUGAUUUUUAAUUAGAUGUGGACAAUAUAGUUGAACAUUUUUGUCAAACAAGUUUUCUAUUACAUAUAUUUUUGUUAUUUUUGAAUUGAUUCUAAUCAUUGUGACAUUAGUAGCAUGAUGAAUAAGUUAUCACAAUCGGUCAUUUGAGAUCACCAAAAAUGUCCAAGUUAAUCUUAUAUUAAAGGUUUUAACUAUGAAUACUGUUUUGUGAACCAUUUAUAUUUGUUGGGAGUUAUGAAUGGCGUCUUCUUAGACCACUUAUUUUUCAUGUUAAAUUCCUCUGUGCAUUCUUCCCCCAAAUUUCCAACAAAGGGAGCUUGCUUCCACGGGUGGUGGGCAGGCAAUGGGUCCAAUGGACACGUAGCAAGGGGCAAGUCCAAAAUCCAGUUUUUCCAUUUUUAGUCUUGCUCUACUUAUAAAUUGUGAUAUAAUAUCUCAUUUGGUGAAUGUUCUUGUAUAGUUUAAUAGCACACUUUUUUCCUUUUAAGCAAAUCCUCACUAAAUUUACAUUUCAAGUUUGAUGAAAAACUAAUCUUCUUUGUGAGUGCAUGGUUUCACUUUGCUUGUUGCUUUAAGAUUACUAGAUAUCUAUAUUUUCUUACAGCAUAAUUUAUGGAAUUUCCAAAUAUAUAUAAAACUUAAGCAUUUUUCUCCUUAAAUACCCGUUAGUUACAACUUUAUUCCCCAGUAUCGGCCUACAUUUAAAAGUAUCGGCACUCAAACUAAGAUUUUUCUACACCAACCAGCUCAUGAAAACAAUGGGCCCUAGUAUCAAACAACAUGUGAAAACCAGAAACUUAAGACUUGAGCUAGAGAAUAUUCUGGUUUUCACAUAUUGUUCAUACUUAGGCCCAUAAUUUUGAUUAGUUAGUUAGUAUGGAAAAAGUUUCUGCCAGAGUUCCGAUAUUUUUAGAUGUCGACCCAUGCUAGGGAACAUAGUUGUAACUGACAUGUGGUUUAGGAGAAACCUGGGUUUGAUCAGAUGCCUUCUGAUUUUGAAUGCUUCCAUGGCUACUUGAUGCCCCUUUUCUAGCGAAAUAGAGAAGUCGGAUCACCAAUAAACUUCACCUACUAAGCUAGUAAAAAUCUUACCACAAUAUGAAAGAACUGCAGUUUAUUCAGAUCUACAAAGUCGCUUGGCCAUCAUACUUGAGGGAAAAGGCGGAUCUAGGGUAUGAGGUUAGGGUUUUCGAGAACAAUUUAAGUACGCAUGUCCAAACCGGUGGAUCUAGGGUAUCGGGUAAGGGAAUUGAGGAACAAUUUAACAUUGAAUAGUCAAGUCAGUGGAUCUAGGGUAUUGGAUAAGGGUUUUUGAGAAUAAUUUAAGCAUGAAUGGCCAAGUCGGUGGAUCUAGGGUAUUGUGUAAGGGCUUUGGGGAACAAUUUAAGCAUGAAUGGACAAUCCUACUAAUAUAGCUAUUGGGUUAUGGUUUUUAGGUACAACUUAAGCAAGCAUGGCUAAGCCUGCAAAUCGAGACUAUCCAUCCGCUGCUAUCGGGAUGCGCACAAGGUAAAACCCUGCUCCGACUUCCGCCGCUAUCGGGACACAGACAAAAUAAUGAAUGUGUCUCGUGGACUACAGUUUAAACUUCCGGCCUUGAAAAUUAAAAAAUUACAAUAAUUAAUAUGGCGAACUUUGAAUAUAUGUUGUCUUAUCAAAAAUAAAAUGUUUCUCUUGAGUUAUGAAUAAAUUUGACUUAUCUUACAAAUGAAAUGUUAAUUGUGUACUAGUAAGAGUUAUGAUGGAGCAGUAAGUAUUGCUUUAUUUUUAAUCCGAUAAUUUUGAAUUUGAGUCUUCUAGAUAUGAGAUCAUAUUUGUUAGUGGGAGUUGAGUUUUUUCGACAUUAAUCCACAUUUAAUUGUAUUCCAGUUAAUAUAACAAACACAGUGAGAGAAAUCAAUUAAUAAAGCACGCCAAUAGUGUAAGAGCACGUAUAGGUUAGCUACUUAAACAUGAUUGGUAUGUGUUGAAAAUUACUUUCGAUAUUGAAACUGAUUUUUUACAUAUAAACAAGUAAUUAUGAAAUCGAGUAAAAGUUUUGAAACUGAUAAAUACAAUAAUAACACACUUAUUAAAAUCUCACAAGGUGAUCUCAGGGAGUGUAGAGUGUACACAGAUCUUAAUAUUAUCCCGUGAAAGUAAAGAGACUAUUUUCGAAUAUUACCUUUUUAAUAAACGUAAAACGGGUAAAAUGACAAUUACAAUAAGUUUGAAUUCUAGGGUGUGACCUAGUGGUUCUAGGUGCUUAUUGGUUGGUUAAGUUUGAACUUAUGUAUUAUCGAUUGAUUUGUCAAUGUUAUAAAUAUGCUAAAUCGAUAACCAAAAAUAUAGAUCAUGAUUAUCAACUUUUGAUCCUUAAGAGUUGGAUUUUUUAUUUAACUGAUAAAAAAAUGCUCUUCUAAAUUAUUUAUUCUUGAUUUAUCCCAUUCUAAUUUGUAUGAAUAUAAAUAUGAAUCUCAUUAAAUUAAUACCCGUUUCAUUAAUAAUCUAUUUAAAGUACCGGUCCCAACUUAGGUCAAUUGAAAAAAUCACUUGUUUCAAUAAUAUGUUUCCAAAAGAACCAUAUAUCAAUAUAUAAUUCCAUUAAUAUUAUAAAUUAAUAAUAUACAAAAGUAUAAUUAUAUUUAAAACUAUUUAGUGAAAUAUGAUUCCAUUAUAUUUUGUUUGUUGUAAAAAUUACAUCUAGUUUAAACUCAUCUCUAAUUUUUCUAAUUGCAUCCAAAAGUUUUAGUGUUGCCACGACAAAAAGUUUUUUUUUGUGUGCAUGUGGAAUGGUCUCUUUUGUAUUUUGAGACUUUUAGAUGAGAAGUCAUUUUUGGAUAUCGUUUCAAGAAAUUUCUUAUAUUGUUUAUAUAGUUUAUUCUCUUACCAUCACAUAUUGAAUACUUUAGUAAAUAAGCAAUGAAUAAUAUUUUAUUAUUACGAAAAAAUGAAUAUUAUGUAUAAUGAAUUUUUGUUUACAAUGAAUCUGAAUUGUUUUAUUUAUUUUACGAUUAAUCAUUUAACUAAAAAAUAUAUUAUAACGAGUCAUACAGAUAUAUUGUACUUCAUGUAUAAUAAAAUUCAAUAAAUAUGAUACAAAAUUAAGUAAUAUAUAAAGCACAAACAUAUCUAAGUCUAUUUAGUGAAAUGUGAUUCUAUUGUGUUUUUUUAUUAUUAGUAAAAUUUAAAUAAGGUUGAAGUUCAUCUUUAAUUUUUCUAAUUGCAUUCAAAAGUUAUAGUGUUGCAACCACAAGAAAUCUUAAUAGAUGCAUGUAGAAUGAUCUCUUUUGUACACACAUAAUGUUUUCACAUAUUUAGUUUGUCACUAAUCAUUAUUGAUUUUGUGACACAUUUGAAUUGAGAAGCAUUUUUGGAUAUGGUUUAAAGAUAUUUAAUAUGUUGCUUAUAUAAUUUAUUCUCUUACCAUCACACAUUGAAUAUUUUUAGUAAAUAAACAAGUAAUAAUAUUUGAUUAUUAAGAAAAAAUAAGUAUUAUGAAUAAUGAUUUUAUGUUUACAAUGAAUCAUUGAAUUGCUUAAUUUAUUUUACAAUUAUCAUUUAACUAAAAAAUAUAUGACAAUGAAUCAUGCACAUACAUUAUACUUAAUGUAUAAUCAUGAAUUCAAUAAAUAUGAUACAUAAUUUAGUAAAAUAUAAUGAUUUUCAUAUAUUCAUGAUUUCACCUAUAUUGAUUUGGUAAUUUUUUUAUUUUAUCAAUUAAGUUUGUUGCAUUUUUACAUUAUGUUCAAUAAAGUAAAUUGACAAUCUUGAGUUUUUAGAUUAAAAAAUUAAUAAAAGAUAUUCCACAAGAGAAAUGUGAAUAUUAAGAGAAAUAAAAAGUAUUCCAAAAGAGAAAUGUGAAUAAUAAGAGAAAUAAAAAGUAUUCCAAAAGAUAAAUGUGAAUAUUAAGAGAAAUAAAACAUAUUUCAAAAGAGAAAUGUGAAUAUGAUUUGGUAGAUAGAGUUAUGUGAUAUUAUAUAAACAAGUUUACAAAACAACAGUAAAAGUAUAAUCAUAUCCUUCUUCUCUCCCAAAACUUAUAAAAAUCAUUUUCAUGGCUUCUUCCCCCACCGUAGCUGAUGGAGAACUUGAAGCGAAAUCAAUCCGAACCAUUGAUCUCCGCCUCCUUUCUCAAUCUGAACUUUACUCCCUCUCCCUCUGUUCCACCACUGAUUACAAUCCUUGUCGGGAUGACGAUUUCAUUAUCCCUAAAAUUGACCGUUCUGUUUUCAACGAAUAUGUUGCGUCCCGCAAACAAACUUAUUCACGUAUCACUUAUGCUCCCCCUGCUUCCUCCUCCAGCCGUACCCGUACCUAUACCCGUCAUCCUCCAUCUCUUAACAAUAAUAGCACAGAGAAUUCUCAAGUUGUUGAGGUUAUUAAACAACUAUUCGGGUACCCUACUGAUUUGGUAACUAAUCCGGUUCAUAAUUCCUAUUCCUUAUCUGCUCCUACGCAUGUUCUUGAAUCGGGCAAUAUGGGUUCAAUUCAGCAGAAAAAGAAGCGAGGUAGCCCUGGGAAGAGUGAGAAUGGCAGGGCGAAUAAGUUAGUGAAGCAGAAUGUAGUUUAACUGUAGUUCAUGUAUGGUAGGCAACUGGACAUUGAUCAUUGAUGCAUGGGAUGAAAUCAAUGAAGGAAUCGUUUGGUUUGAAUACAAAUAGAAUUUUUUAUGUUGGCAAAAUAAUAUGCAUGAUAUAAAUUUUUAAUGUUGGCAAGCUUUAGAGCUCUCAUCCAAACAAACUCUUUGUUAUUUAUUCUUAAUUUUUUUUCAUUUUAUUUAGCUUAAAUAUUCUACUAUUUAUAUUUUAUGUUAUAUAGUACAGUAUGUAUUUAAAGGAAUAAGGAUUAAGAAUGUCCUUAAACGAUGUGCAACGAACAAAACUGUUGUUCGUUUAUAGGUUGGCUUAAACAUAUAUAUCCUUACCUUCAAUGCUUUGGUUCAAAAAUGUCCAUUAGAAAUAUAUAUUCAUCAUAAGAAAUAUUUUUUUAUGUGAAUUUAAGUAAGAUAACUAUUUUCAAAUUUAAAAGAUACUAUUAGGAAAAGAAUGUAUUAAAAAAAGAAAAUUAAUAAUAUAUUAUAUUUGAAAAAUGAGUAUUUUUGACCCAUUAAAUAAAAAAAAGAUAAUUUGUGGAUCAAAGAAUUGACAGAAGGACAUUUUUGGAUCAAACUACAAACGAAUAACAUUUUUUUAUUUUUCGCAUAGUUUAAGGACAUUUUUAAAAACAAAAAUUUCUUUUUAUCUACAUAAAAAAAAUUCACCUUAAGUUUGUUAAAGUAAAAGAGUUUUAUGAGAAAGUAAUAUAUAUAUAUAUAUAUAUUAGUCUAUUAAAUUUGUAGAUGAAAAUUAUAUUUAUGUUGUGUAAUCUAUUAAUAGAAAUAUAUCAAGAAUUAUCAUAAAAAUAAGUAGCAAAGAUUGUGAAUGUUAUUUAUAUACAUGAUAUUGAAAAUAAUGUAAAUAUACACAAAUGUAAAAAGUAAUGUGAAAAUGAAGUUUAAUCUCAGGAUUAUAUGAUAGUAUCCUUCACACCAAACGAUUUCGGAGUAAUUUGAUAGAAAAUUUUUGAUUGGGAGUUGGAGUUAUACAACUGACAUUUCAUUUUACCAUAAACAAAUAAUUAUAACAAAAAGAUAUUUUGUUUCAAUUUUCGAUUUAUUGAUUUUAAUUCUUAAUUGUUUGGUUUUUUAUUUAACCAAUAAAAAAAUAUUUAUAGAAAAAAUAUAUUUUCUCCAACAAUUUGACACGACAAAACAAUAAUAUCGCUUUACAAACACUCAUAAAAUAUAAUUGUAAUGACUACCAUGAAUAUUACUAUACAAGCAUAACACAAGAAAAAUUAAGAGGAAUAAGGAUCUCACUUUAGAUUUUGACCUUUUGUACAAGGGAAGAAGAAAAAAUAUACCUCAGAACCAUUAUAAAUGGCAUGCAUAUAUCCUCUGUCAUAUUUUUGUGACAUUGGUACCCCUACCGUCCAAAAAUAGAGCAUAUAUAACCUUUAUACUAACAAACAUACACGUGUCAUAAUCUUAUCCACUGACCCGAUAUUUAUUAAAUGCGAUAUCGACGGAUAAGAUUGUUCCGCUAGAGUGAAUGACAUAUAUGCUCUAGUUUUUUGUCGGGAUGAGCACCAAUGUCCAAAAGUAUGAUGGAGGGUAUAUGCAUACCAUUUACGAUAUUUCGGAGGUAUAUUUAUUCUAUUUCAUUUGUAUAAUGCAAUAAAAAACAUAAACAAUAUUAUUCAAGGUAUUGACAUUAAUAUUUUAUAUUUAUGUAGAUAUAAAAUAGUAAAUUUUUAUAGUCUUAAUGAGUUAUUUGAUCACCCAAUAAACUAAUAUAAACUAUCAAAAUUGAAUUGAUAAUCUGAUAAUUCUUUUUUAUAAAAUCAUUAACCCCUUAACCCAACAAUAAUAAACUAAUAACAUUUUUCCAUUUCGAAUUUUGCACAUUGGAGUCUGAACAUGGGAAGAGACAAUUGCACACUCCUAUUGGAGUGAAAACAAUAAACUAACGAGAUAAUUAAUAUGUAAAACUCUAUUUUAGGGAACUAAUUAAGUGGUAGGUCUCUGUUUUAGGAAAAUAAUUAAGUCGAGGGACUUUAUUUUAUGGAAAUAAGAACAAAUUAGGAAGAUAAUUAAGCGAGUAAGGCUCUAUUUUAGGAAAAUAAUUAGGUGUUAAUCUUUAUUUUAGGAUAAUAUUUAAGUGAGAGAACUUUAUCUUAGGGAGAUAAUUAUGUGGGAAAAACUUUACUUUAGGCUAUUUUUAAAAAGUGAUGUAUUUUGAUGUAUCUCGAUUCAUCUGAUAAAUAAUUAAUAAAUGGAAAAAGAUAAAUAUAUUCUCGAACUAUUAUAAAUGGUAUGCAAAUGUGCUCUAUUAUACUUUUGGGAUAUUGGUGUCAUUGCCGUCCAAAAACUAUAACACAUAUACCCUUUAUACUAACGGGCAAACACAUGUCAUCAUCUUCUGCACCGAUCUGACAUUUAUUAAAUAUCGGAUAGAUGGAUAAGAUUGUGUCAUGUGUCCCUAUUUAGUCCUACAUUAGAGUGAACGGCAUAUAUGCUCUAGUUUUUAUACGGUAGGGACACAAAUGUCCCAAAAGUAUGACGAAGAUUAUCUCCAUACCAUUUACGAUAAUUUGACGAUAUAUUUUUUUCCAUUAAUAAAUAAUUAUUUAAAAGCUUAAAUUGAAUUAGUAGAUAUUAUAUAACUGUAAAUCUAAUUAGAUAUUUUUUCCAAAAAAAAAAUUACAAAACCAUUUAAAAAAUGUUAGCAUAAUAAUUCACUACCAAUAAAUUUAUACUGUAAUAUUCUUUUUAGUUGAUUCAAUUUUUACAUAUCUACAUAUAAUCAUGGAAGUAAUCAACAGUCUUAUGUUCUUAGGUUCAAUUCUUAAUAAAAAAAUGGGAGUGCUAAUAUUUUAGUGGUGAUUAAGGGUAUUUACAGUUGGUGAUGAAUUUUUGAAUGGUUAUUUAGUUUAUAAGAUAGAGCGGAAGAUAUUUGUAAAUGUAAGUAAUGAUGCUAUUAUAGAUUGUUUUCAAAAUAUAAAGUCUCGUCGAGUACAAUUGUAAACUGAUGAUAUUUUUUGUGAUAAUGUAAUUCUCAUGUAUUGCUGCUUAGUUAUUGUUAUAAAUUUUUUUAUCCUAUCUUUAAAGCAUGGUUCACCCUUUUUCUUGAAAUCCUAGAUUCUGUUAGGACCGGAAAUAAGGAGGUGUAAACGCGGAAGCUAGCAAAGCAAACCUCAAAAGACCACGAGUAAGAAGACAACAAGAAAUAUACCAAGAGACACAAAGAUUUAACGUGGUUCGGUCAAUCGACCUAUGUCCACAAAGGAGAUGAGCAAUCCACUAUAAAUAUGAGCGUACAAAAUACAGGGAGAAACAACCUCAACCAAUUCACUCGGAAUACAUGGGAGGUUCACACAAGUGAUAACGUAUCAAACUUGUGACCCAUAAAUUCUCCCCCUAAACAAAACUCUCAAAGACCUUAAGACUACAUUGUGAAUGCUGAUUAAGUUAGAAGGAACAUGCCUCUAUUUAUAGAGUCCUAAACCUUUUCCUACAAGAAAAUGAUUAGUCAAUCCAAAACAUUUUCCUACAAGGAAAAGCUAUUUAUGGUAAGAAAUUUAGGGCAAAUAAAACCCAACAAAUCUCCCCCUUGGCCUGAAUUUCUGAAAAAAUAAAUUUGUCCACCUUCUUGACUUAAUCUUCAACAACUUGCUUCUCCUCUCCAUAAUCUCCUUUGCAAAAUUUAUGUCUCAACACAAAGAAUCUCUCUGAAACAAUUUCUCCAACAAAAAUCUCCAUUACUAUAAAAAAGGUUGCGGCUAGAACUAUACCCAUCAAGAUGAACACCUCUUUCUAACCUGUUUCAAUAAUCGAUUAUCGAACCACUGAACCUGACUCCAUCAUUGAAUCUGGCUCUGAUACCACUUGUUAGGACCGGAAAUAAGCAGGUGUAAAUGCGGAAGCUAGCAAGGCAAACCUCAAAAGACCAUAAGUAAGAAGAAAACGAGAAAUAUACCAAAAGACACAAAGAUUUAACGUGGUUCGGUCAAUCGACCUACGUCCACAAAGGAGAUGAGCAAUCCACUAUAAAUAUGAGAUUACAAAAUACAGGGAGAAACAACCUCAACCAAUUCACUCGGAAUACAUGGAAGGUUCACACAAGUGAUAGCGUAUCAAACUUGUGACCCAUAAAUUCUCCCCUAACCAAAACUCUCAAAGCCCUUAAGACUAUAUUGUGAAUGUUGAUUAAGUUAGAAGGAACAUGCAUCUAUUUAUAGAGUCCUAAACCUUUUCCUACAAGAAAAUGGUUAGUCAAUCCAAAACAUUUUCCUACAAGGAAAAGCUAUUUAUGGUAAGAAAUUUAGGACAAAUAAAAACCAACAGAUUCGCCUCUUCUUAAUGAUACAAACUCAAAAACAAAUGGUCUAGUAAACUAGAAGUUUAGAGAUACUUUUGCGGCCAGUAAUGAAUCUUUCUUCAAGAGCCAGAGAAGGAAGAGAUGGGAGAGACUUUUCUUGUCUACAUGAGAUUUUCAUAAAAUUUAUUACCGUAUCAAAAAAAUGGAAAUUGCUAUUUUUCUUCUCAAAAAGGUUUACCACUCAAUAGCCAAACACAUAUUAUUCAUUUCCUUUUAAUUUGUAAUCGGUGGUGUUGAGAGAAAUCGUGUGUAACUCGAUUAGUUUUGGAGGAUACUGGCAAGUUACUACUAAUAAUUGAUUAUAUCUUAUUGAAUAUUUAUUUUAAUUUUCUAUUUACGAGUUUUAAUUUAAUAUUUCAAAAAAUAUAUUCUCUUAUCUUAAUCAAUUAUGAAAAAAAUUUACCGUUCUAUUUAAAAUUUCAUACAAAUAAAUCUAUUUGAAUGUUUAUAAUUACUUUUAAUUUGUCUUUUACUUCUCUCUGUUCACUUCUAUUUGCCACUAUUUGACUCAAGACACCCAUUAAUUAGUGGUAUAGAUAUUUUAUCAAAAUAUUUUCUAUUAAAUGAUGUCUUGAAAAAUAACUAUUUAAUGUUGAUGGUCAGACAUGAAAAUAAAAUAUUAUCUUUUUUUAUGUCAAAAGUAAUAAGGUAAAUAUAAAAAUCUAUUCUAAGAAAUGAGAAAUAAAAUUAAAUCGGAGGAUAAUAAUAACAUCAAUAUAAUUGAUUAAUGGAUGUAUCCGUAACUAAGUUGCAGUAUAGGGGUAUUUUGGUCUAAUUAACCCUAAAUGAAAAAAUAAAAAGACAUGACGUAAUGAAAAAGUAAAAAGGCAUGUAACGAGUUUUUCCUGCUACGGACAUAAUACAAAAACCGAAGCUACAUUUUACUAACUCACUCCCUCCCUUCCUCCCGCAGGCUGCAACGGCGCAUCGUUUUCAUUCUUGAUUUCUUCACGAGUUAUAGGAUUCCAAUAUCAAUUUCUGUUUCUGUUUCUGUUUCAGAUUUGCAUUAACAGAUAAAAAGGUGAAUUUUGAUCAUGACUUUGAAGAAGGUUACAUGGGUUACUAGACCUGAUUUUUGUCAGGUAUACACAUAAUUAUUUAUUUUUAUUCAUUUUAAGUUAUACAUCAGUGUCUAGUCUGCACACACAUGAAUUUUCUUUUCUUUUUGUUAGUUUGAUUUGGAUCGGAUACUAUGUUAUGAAUGAAUCAAUGGAAUCUAGAAAAAUUUAGACAAGGGAAAAUAAGGAUUUCGAUACUAUCAAAAGAAAAAAGGAUUUUGAUAAAAUUUGAAACAUACUGGGAAAGAGGCAAUGUCCUUUGAGAUAACUAUUUGAGACUUUGAAUCUCUAUAGACAAAAGACACUUUGGGUGACCUAUUGGUUGAAAGAGUAGUCCUAAAUCCACGUGACUAGCAUUCAACUAUAUGAGCGAAUCAAAUCCACACAUCAACCGCACAUUUGAACUGACCGCAAAAACCAUUUCAAUUUUUUUUUAUAUUUUCAAAUUAAUCAUCAAGUGUCUCAAAUUAGAACUAUACAAAACUAAUUUCAUAAGAAAUAUAAAUGUGUUUUUUUCAUGUAUGUCAUGUACAUUUCUAUUAUUACAACUCAACACAACUAUCAGUAUAGGAAACCUCUACAUGAUUGUUGAAUUUAAAUAUAAACUCUUGGAGGAUUUUCUGACAAAAAGAAAAAAGAACAACAUAUACUAGCUUAUACGUAAUAAAAGUGGUGCUUCAACAUAAAUCUCAGGAAAAGAGUAACCUUAGCUUUGUCCACUCAUCAAUUGCCACGAGUAGACUAUCACAAUACUCGUUUACUAAAAUUCUCAACUUUCAAUGUUAUUACCCUACAAAGAGAUGCAACUAACCAAGACCAACUGAAAAGGAGGCUCGACUCACAGGGAGAGCGGUAGAUGUGAUUCUAAGAGCGUUAUGAGGAUGAAUAUCACAAAGAAAUACAACAGUGUCAACCGAAUUUGAAUCAACUCAACCCUAUUAGGUAGACUCUACGUAUACACCGACAAGUGUAGUUUCAGGAUGACAAUAAAAAUUUAUCUGAAGUCAAUCUAUAUAAACAUAAUUAACUCCCAAAAUAUUUAAAUAUGUCAAAAACAAAUUUAUGAUAUUUGUUUCUCAGAGAAAUGAUAUUUCUAAAAAUCACUCAACUUUAGGAAUAUAUAUAAUAAAGUCAUUGGAUUUUGUUUUGUAUCAAUAAAAUUACUCAACUUAGACUUUUGAGAUAUCAUUAUUUUCUAAAUAGUCUUUUUUUAAUCCCUAUUCUAAUCCCUCUUCAAAAGGGUUAUUGCUUUUUUUUUCUCCGAAACAAUACCCCUGUUAUUGUUGUAUCAACGUAAUUCAUAGUUUAAACAUAUCUUUUGCAUCCUGGAUGAUCCAACUAGGGAAAAACUUCUCCCAGGAGGUUUCCUUCAACAAUUUGAUUAAAUCUUCACUCUCUUUCAUCCCUUACUAAUAGCAUAUUAAAGAGCUUUCCCAAUAACAAUUGCUUCAGCAGUCAUGACCUCCCCAACAAAUUAGAUUGGGGAUCCAUGGGAAUGAAGCAGGUUCCCAACGCUAUCUAUAGCCACAAUCCUGCAUAUGUAAAUAAUAAAAUGCCAUCUUGCAAUUUUGUUACUUUAAUCACAAGAUGAUUUACUGAGGAACAAGAAGGAAGACUUUUUGUUAGUAAAUCCUUAUAUUCUUUAUACUCAAACUUAGAUCUAGAAACAAUAUCUCUUGGUUCUAACCUUUCGUAAUUAAUAACAACCAAUUACUUGCCAAAUAAUGUUAGCGCUCAAGUUUAAUAAGUCAAUAGAUUCAGGAAAAAAUUUGGUAUUUAAGAACAAGUCAUAGAAAAAUUAGUAAUAUUUCCUAUAUCAGGCAAUUUAUAGGAGGACAUUACCUCCACACAAGUUGAGACCGAGGACAUUUGAAUAACAUAUGUUAUAUAGCUUCAGGUCCAAGAACACAAAUCUAACAAGUCUCAUCUACAUUAUGUAAUUCUUUUUGCUAAAUUACUAUGGACAUGUUAUAAAAUCAGAUAGACAAAAGUAGUCGAAAGAUGAUUUUAUUCCUUCAGCAUCGAAUUGUUAGAUACAACCAAUAGCUAAACUUAAGGAAUCUAAUUGAUACAUAAACUCCUAAACUGUUGGAAGACUCUUCUACAAAUAUACAACAACAAUAAACUCCUACAAUAGGAGGAGUUUUCUACAGAUACUAAAAGGUAGUAACUAUAACAACAACUUAUUAUAAGAUAAAUUAAAUUAUUCUUAAUACAUCCCCUCAAGUUAGGUGUGGGUCAAUAACACCUAAGUUGGAACGACACCUUGCAAAGGCUGGUGGUGGUAAUGGGUUGGUAAAUGUAUCAGCAAGUUGAUCCCAAGCAUGAGUGUGUUUGACAAGAACUCGUGUGCUUGAACUUGGUUCCUAGCAUAGCAAAAGUCCACAGAAAUAUGUUUCAUACGGAUAUGGAACACUGGAGAUAAGUGACACAAACAUUGUCACAAAGUAUUGUGGGAAUAUUUGGAACGGUGAUACAAAAUUCAUUGAGCAAGUUGGAUCAUUUCGUGCACACGAUAAGCGAAGAUUUUUUCGUGAAGAUCAACCCAAAGAGACGACUUACCUUUCUAAAACAAAUGAAAAUUCUCAAAAUUUCUCAAAAAAUCAUAAGUAGAAGAAUCACAAGCCAAAAAAGAAGCAGGAUCAUGAUGGUUCUUCCAAGAAAGUUGAAGAAGAAGGUGAAAAACUCUAGUUUUUUUUUGUAAAGUUUGCAAAAAGACUAAUCACAAUGAAGAAAAAUGUUGGCACAAAAUCAAGUCCUAAGUCAGUUGAGAAAAGUUUUUCCUUAUCUGUAGAAACAUUGUUUUAAAAGGAAAAAAAAUUCAUAAAAGAGAACAUCAGGACUUAUGAAUAUUUUUUACCAAUAUUGGGUCAAAGCAAAGGCUAUGCAUGAUGGCUUGAUGAAACACAUAAAUACACACAAGGGGUGGACUGAGGCUCCAACUUAUUUUUGGUAUAGGGCUUAAGCCAUGGAUAACAGAGACAACCAAAAAUUUUAAGAUUGGCAUAGUUGGGUAAUUUACCAAAUAAUUGUUUGAAAGGUGACGCAUUAUGUAAGAUGGGAGUGGGUAGCCGAUUAAUGAGAUAAACAACAUCAUGGAAGGCAAAAGACCAUAAGUCUGGUAGUAGGGAUGCCUCAUGGAGAAGUGUUUUGACUAUCUCAACAAUAUGACGAUGACAACGUUCAGCUAUGGCAACACGUUGUGGCGUGUAUGUAGAUGAAACUGAAUCUUCAAUGCCAUUUUGUUGAAGAUAGGACUGAACAUUUUUGUAUUCACUCCCUCCAUCAGUAUAAAGAGAUAUAAUUUUUGUUUUGAAAAAAUUCACUACUAAAGGACGAAAGGUUUGGAACAAAGAGGCGACUUCACUUUUAUUUUAAGUGUAUACAGCCAAGUAUACUUGGUGUAUUGAUCAACAAAGAUACAGUAAUAUAACUUUUUGUCUAGUGAUAAAACGGGGGAUGGUCCCCAUAAAUCGCUAAAAUUGACCUGAAGAGGUACAUUUUGGAUAAAGUGAGUCGUUGAAAUGGCAAAUGAUGUGCUUUAUUAGAAGAACAAGCAUUAAAAAAUUCAAAUUUCUCUGUAGUAGCAACAUGUAAAGCAAUUUUUUUCAAAACAAAGUUUAAAAUCCUCGAAUGAGGAUGACCCAAGCAACUAUGCCAUAGCUUAAAUGAAACCUUUGUGGAGGCGAGAUUGAUUGAUAUUGGUUGUCUGGUUAGUAGAUAUGGCCCAUUCAUAGAGUCCAUUCUUAUUCUGCCCUUGUACCAACGACUUCUGAGUAUGCAGGUUCUUCACAAGAAAAGUAAAAGGAAAAAAUUCAACAUAUGUGAUAUUGUCUUGACUAAACUUGGCUACACAAAUAUGGUUGUUUUAAUUGAUGGAGAACAUAGAGUGUUAGAAAGACUGAAAGAAGAAUUAGGUGCUUAUAUUUGAGUUAAAUCAGUAUGAGUAAUAGGAAUGGUUUUACCUUCGCCCAUAGAUAUUCCCUCAUUGCCUUUAUACUCUUUAAGAUUAUGAGGUUCAACCAUGACAUGAUGAGUCGAACCAAAAUCGAGAACCCAAGAAUUGUCUGUUGACUGCAAAUUAGAGGCAAAGUUGGCCUUAUCUUCAAAUUGAUUCUGCGAUUUGGAACGACAUACAUCUGCAGGGUGACAAAAUUUUUGGCACAAAUGGCAUCGAACCAAUUGUCUCGAAUUUGAUCUCAUGUUUUGCUAAUUGUUGGAGUUGGACUGUCGAGACACAGAUUGGUCCCAUUGUUGAUUGUUGAAGUUGAACUGUUAAGAGAUUGAUUCAAUUUUCAUGGUUAAAGCGACGAUUGUUCCUGUUAGACUGGGAUGUCAUGUGUCCUCUGUGCUACUGCAGCUGUGAUAUUGGAAGAUGAUUUGUCAAGGUCUUGGUGCUUUAGGAAAAUCUCACGAUCUGUGAGCUUGUGAAAGAAUUCUUCAAAACUUAAGGAAGAGUCGCGUGCUCUUAUGGCAGUAGAGAUCUCCCCGUAAUCGGGGCCCAAGACGCUUAGAAUUCUUUACAAUAAGUUCAUUAUCUUGUACUGGUGAAUUAACAACUUUGAGAGCAUCAGAUUCAGAUCAAACGUCUUGCAAGUAUUCUGUAACCGAUUUAGAGGCUUUCUUAAUAUUUUGCAGUUGGUCGUGUAACCCAUGUGAAGAAAUUCCCAGGCUGUCUUAGAAGAUGUAUCUGUGGCAAGAGUCGGCGCAAUGGUGGUAUCGACAGAUGCCAUCAUUGGUUGUUGGAUCAGUUGGUUCUGAGAUAAUCAGAUUUGGUAUUUGGUUUCUGGAAUUGUAAGGUUAAAUCGCGUAACAAUCAUUGGUAGUUCCGGGUUUGAUCCGUCAAGAUGUCCCAUGUGUUGUUCAUCUUGUAUUCCUAACAUACUUAGAAUAAGACUUUGAAUAACUUUUAAGAACACAAAGUUUAAGAAUAUUUUCACAACUAGAAAAUUAAAACUAGUGGCAAAACUAGAAACAUAAACAUAUUAGAAAUACGAAAUAUUUCUCUUAAAGAAGAAUUAUUUUUAAUCUUUGUCUAAAGAAUCUUACUGCUUCCAACAAACUUUGCAGAAACAAAAAUUACCAUAGUUUAAUGAACCAGAGAAGAACAAAAGAAUAGAAGAAGAAAAAUUAAUUCACAAAUCUAAAAUUUGUAACACAUACCAGAAUCUGGAAAAAAUAGAAAGAAGAUCAAGCCCAAAGAAUACACAGUGUCCCCUUAAGAAAAGUUAUUCCCCUCUAGUAUCCGAGAUUUGAUUUGGAAUAUGUCAUACCAAGAUAGAAUGAUCUCAAUCACCAAUGUAUUGAUACCCAAAACGCUAGUCUCAACGAUUCACUCAACGACAGUAAAGUACACUUAGAAUACUAGAUUUAGUAGUAGUAGAAGAAGUCCAUAAAUUCUAUUUUUAAAAUGAGAGGAAAUCCCUCAAUUUAUAGAAAACAAAGGAAUGUGCGAAAAGAUCCUUAUUGUGCCUUAUCAGAAAGGUCACAAACCUUUGGAAAAGUCACAAUCUUUCGGAGAGGUCGUCACCUUUCAUAAAAGUAAAACUUUUCAUGAAAGUCGCAACUUUUUAUAUAAGUCACAACUUUACAUAAAAGUCGCACCCUUUCAUAAAAGUCACAACUCUUCAUAAAAGUCGCAAUCUUCAUUUUCCAUUCACACCUUUAAAACCCAACAACAUGAGUUGAUGUCCAUUAGUAGCAUCACAAGUUGUGUUUUCCAAGUUGAGAAGUUGAGGGUACCUUGUAGUUUAAUAGGUAAUUGAGACGUGGGAUUGAAUUGUACCACAUGAAUUACACGUGAAGCAGCCGAAGCACUGCUGUUGGUGGAAGUAUCAUCACCAGCUGUAAUAACAAGAGGAGGAGUUUCUUGAGAUGUAGUCAUAGUGGGGAUGCGAAAAAAAAACAGAAAGGAUCUGCCUCGUAAGAGGCUAGAGGCUCUGAUACCCUAUAAAAUUAGAUAGACAAAAAUAGUCAAAAGAUGAUUUUAUUAUUUCAGCAUCGAAGCGUUAAAUACAACCAAUAACAACAACCUAUAGCUAAACUUAAGGAAGCUAAUUGCUACAUAAAAUCCUAACCGAUGGAGGACUCUUCUACAAAUAUACAACAACAAUAAACUCAUACAAUAGUAGGAGUCUUCUACAGAUACUAAAAGGCAUUAACUUAUUAUAGGAUUAAAUAAUUAUGCUUAAUACGGGUAACAUUUUCUCAAAAAAAAUUUAUGCUUAUGUUUAUCUCCCAACUUCCACGAGAAGUACCAAAAGCUUUUUGGAAAAGAGUGACAACUCACUUGAGAUUUCAAGUUUUUCAAUGUCUUACCGAUCAAAUCCUUUACGAUGUAGUAACUUGACUUAACUUCAUAGUUUCCUAUUUUUGUAUGACCACGGAUAAUAUUAGGGAUGAAGCCAUUAUUAUUUGGUAUCCAAGGGUCAAUCCAAACAUUAAUAUUUUUUUCGUCAGAAAUCCUCCCUCCAUCUUAAUCCUUUAGUCAAAAGAUCUCUCCGCAAAAUACUCUUUCCUAUCCAAGAUCCUGAAGAUGAUGUUAAGAAAGGUUUAGUUUGGAAAAUACUUGCUUUUAAGAACUCUUGCUAUUAAAGAAUCCGGUUGCAAUAGAAGUCGCCAAGCUUGCUUAGCUAAUAGAGCCAUACUAAAAGAUUUUAGAUCUCUAAAUUUAUUUAGAAUCACCUAAUCGAUCUAUCCAAGAAUCUGGUUGCGAUAAGAGUCGCCAAGCUUGCUUAGCUCAUAGGGCUUUUUAAAAGAUUUUAGAUCUCUAAAUUUAUUUAGAAUCACAUAAUCGAUCUAUCCCAUUUCUCAAAAUGCAUUUUUUUUUCUUCUGUUUGUUCGCAGAUUUUUUUUUGAAAAGAGGGAUAUAAUUUCCUUACACAAACCAUUGGAAAAAAGACAAAGCAAAUGUAGGGAUCACAGAAUUAAGCAUAAUUUCUUUUCCCCCAGUACUUAAAAAUUUUCCCUUCCAUCCUUUUAUUUUCGUCUUUGACUCAUACUGUUAUAAACUCUAGCAUCCUUUUUCUUGCAACGUCCCACAAACAACCGGUAAGCCUAAAUACAUACCCAUGUCAUUUCUUUGUCAUUGUCCAAGCAACGACGAUAUCUCAACUUUCUCCUCCUCUCUCACAUUUUUAUUAAAACAUAUAGUUGAUUUAUCUAGAUUACCACUUGCCUAGAGCUUCGUUCAUAUUUCUUUAAGAUAUUGUCUACACAACUUGCAUUUCAAUUUAUAGCUGAACAAAAUAUAAAGGAGUCAUCAGCAAAAAAAUGAGAUUCGCUCGGCCAAUGACUAUUCAACUUUAUCUCUUGGAUUUCAUUUUGUUCCUCUAAUAUGUUCAUUAUAGAUAAACCUUCAUAACAUAUUAAAAAAAAUAUGGUGACAGUGGAUCCCCUUGUCUUAUCCCUCUGGUAGGCUAAUCCAUUUGACAAAUCUUUUAUGUAAUUCCCUUCGUAAAAGCAUUUCUUAUAAAUAAAUCCAUUUGACUCUGUCAUAGGCUCUCGACAUAUCCAAUUUUAUAGCCAUAUAUUUUUUCCUACACUUGCAUUUGUCUUUUAAACACCGCAUUUUUUAUUUACUUUGUCAUAGGUUCUCGACCUGGUGCGUCAAGAGGAUGCAUCACAAACACCACAUUUUUUAUUUCCUCAUCAUCAACUUCCUUAAUUAAACUUUGAUUUAUAGAAUCACUAACAAUCACUUUAACAUGAUUCAAAAUACAGUCCUAGUCUAUAGGGUUAGAUGUAGAGAACGUGGAAAAAAUGAUAAUCACACCCAUGAUAAUGUCCAAACUAAAUAGCAAUAGGAAGAGAGUAACAAAGACCCCAAAUAUUAAAAUGGGUAAAUAUGAUACCCGAAUAAGUAAUACAAUAAUGUUGUUGAAAAACUUGGUAGCGUCAAAAGACUACCACUCAACACUCUUUUAUUUCUUACAACUCACAAUAAUAUUACUUCCGCUAUUUUCUCACAAACAAAGAAGUAGUUUGUGGAUUACUCUCUACUCUCUAUUGCUUCUCUAUUUUGGUGUUUCUUCAAGUGUUCAAUUACUACUCUAUUUAUAGAGUUUUUUUGAAGACUUCAUUACAUUAUUCAUGAAAUAAUAUGGUAGCCAAUUUCCACAAAAAAAUUGGCUGCCAAACUCUACCAAACUUAUAAAAUACUUUGACUACCUACUUCCACAAAUGUGGCUACCUAUUUUCACAUUUGUAGAUAGUAAUUUCAACAAGUAUGACUGACAAAUUAAUUGUAGCCAAGAUUUUAUUUACACAACUCCCUCCCUUAUUUUUAUUCUUUACUCCAAGGCUUGAUCUCAAUCUCUGAAAAUCUUCAAACUUGAGAGGCUUUGUAAGAUAUCCGCAACUUGAUCAUGAGAUUUCACAUACUUGAGCUCUACCUCUUUCUUGGAAAUGCAUUCUUGGAUAAAGUUAUACCUUGUGUCUAUGUUUUUGCUUGCUUCGAUCAUGAUACACUAGAUUAAUUGCUAGUGCUUGCGGACAUUCGUUAUCAACACAAAUCAUUCUGGCUUCAAUUUGUGGCAAAUGGAGUUCCUUCAACAAUCUUCUCAACCAAAUAGCAUGACAGGUAUAUGAUGUCGCUGCCACAUAUUUAGCUUCGCAAGUCGAGAGAGUAACAAUUGAUUGUUUCUUUUAACUCCAAGAAAUAACAUAAUAACCUAAGAAAACACAAAACUUGAUGUGCUUUUUCUAUCAUCAACAUCUACCGCAUAGUCACUAACACAAUAUCCCAUAAGAUUAAAAUUUUCAGAAGAAGAAUAAAAUAGUCCAAGGUCGAUUAUACCUUUUAGGUAGCGAAUAAUUCUUUUAGCGACCUUCAAGUGAGUGGAGGUAGGAGCUUCCAUGAAGCGACUUACUACUCCAACUGCAAAGAUUAUAUAUGUUCUCGUACAUGUCAAUUACCUCAGACUUCCAAUGAGACUUUUGAACAAAGUUGAAUCAAAUUUUUCUCCAUCGUCAAACUUUGACAAUUUUGUUCCACUUUUCAUUAGGGUGUUCACAGGGUUGCAAUAAAACAUGUUGAACUUCUUCAAAAUCUCCUUUGUACAAAUUUCUUGAGAUAUGAAGAGGCCUUCCUCCAUUUUCUUCACUUCUAAGCCUAAGUAAUAGGAAAUGAGCCCUAUUUUCAUCAUCUUAAACUCAAGGGACAUACUUUUCUUGAAAGCUUCAAACAAAACUGUGUUGUUACCCGUUAGACUGAGAUGAUCAACAUAAAUAAAAAAAAGAAGAAUAUCUCUAUUAGUAUGAACUUUAAUGUAAAGAGCAUAUUCAUGGAGUCAACGAGUUAACUCGUUAUCUUGAAAGUAAUUGUCAAUGCAACUAUUCCAAGCUCGUCGAGCUUGCUUCAUCCCAUAUAAGUCUUUCUUCAACCUCAUCACCUUAUCUUCAUGAUUUUUAACCACAAAACCCAAUGGUUGCUCAACAUAGAUUUCUUCUACAAGAUAUCCAUUUAACAAUACCGAUUUGGCAUCUAGUUGAUGGGUCUUCCACUUUAUUUGCGCCGCUAAAUAGAACAAUAGACGGAUUGUCUCCAUGUAGGUAACAGGUGCAUAGACUUCCUCAUAGUCAAUGCCAUGCCUUUGUUUGUAGACUUUAUCCACAAGUCUUGCCUUGUGUCUUUCUACUUCUCCAUGGGCACUUUUCUUCGUCUUGUAUAUCCAUUUGACUCCAAUUUCUCAAUGGUCCUUGGGAGGAAUUGUUAGCUCCCAAGUGUUGUUCUUUUCUAUUGACUGGAUCUUCUCCUCGAUCCCUUGUCUCCACCUUUUGUUAGUAAUAACUUCAUCAAAAUUCAUUGGUUCACUAUCAGCAAAGAGAGAACACAAAAAAAUCAAAAUUAGUAAUUUCUUCUGAGUCAUCAUAGUGUUCUUGAAUGCUCCUUAUCCUAUGUGGUCUUUCACUUGAAAUCUCUUAUGAAGAUGGAAAUGCAACAUUUGCUGGUGAAGGAGGCGGGGUUUUAUCCUUUGCAGGUGCCAUGGUCUCUUGUUCUUCUCCAUCUUCGAAGUAUUGAAGAAAAUCAUAUUUUUUUUCUUCCAGAUCCUCCAAGUUCCAUUAUGCUUGUUCAUCAAAUUUAACAUCACGACUCACCACCAACUUUUUAUUGCUUGUAUUGUACAAAUUGUAGCCUUCUGAACUUGCGUCAUAGCCAAUAAACACAUAGUUGACACUCCAAUAGUCAAGUUUAAUUGUCCCUUGAUGUGGAACAUGAGCAUAGGCUAUGCUCUCAAAGAUUCUCAAGUGCUUAACAAUUGGAUUUCUUCCGCUCCAUGCUUAUUCAGGUGUUUGAUCUCUUACAUUUUUUGUCGGAGACCUAUUGCUCAAAUAAAUUGAAAAAGAAACAGCCUCGGCUCAAAAUUCUUUUGGUAGAUGUUUCGCUUUCAACAUACAUCUAGCCAUCUUAAGAAUUGUUCUAUUCUUUCUUUCUGCAACUCCAUUUUGUUGGGGCGAGUAAGGUACCGUUAGAGGGCGACGAAUUUCAUGAGAUUGACAAAAGUCAUUAAAUUCUUUUGAAGUGAACUCACCUCCUCUAUCAAACCUUAAUGCUUUUAUUUCAUAGCCACUUUCUUUUUUUCCAAGUGCUUUGAAAUUUUUAAUGGAAACAAAAACUUAAGAUUGUUGCUUCAAGAAGUAUACUCAAGUCUUUCUACUGAAAUCUUCAAUAAAGAGCAAGAAGUAUUUUUUAUACCAAAAGAAUGGUGGAUCGAUUGGACCACACACAUCAGUAUGUACAAGUUGAAGUGGCUUACUUGUUCUUGAUGUAGUCUCCUUUGGAAAACUCCUCCUUUCAUGUUUUCCAAGAAUACAAGCUUCACACAAUUGAUUUGGAUGGUUGAUUGAUGGUGUCCCAUCAACCAUGUUCUUGUCUCCCAUUGGUUUGAACGUUUCAAAGUUCAAGUGUCCAGAUCUCAUAUGCCAGCACCAUGAGUCAUCUUGCACAUUAGCCUUCAAACACUUUGCUUCGAUAGGUUGAAGAUUCAAAGGAAACAACCUAUUCUUUUCCAUAUGAACUUUAGCAAUUAAGUUGUUAGUUGAAUCUAUUAGCCAAAGAUGCAUAUUUUUCAUAUGAAUAUCAUAUCCUUUUCAAUAAGUUUACCAAAACUCAAAAUAUUACUUUUCAAUUUGGCACAUAAUAAACAUUAGUAAUCAAUUUAUGACCACCAUGUUUACAUGAUAUCAGAAUCAUACCUAUCCCUUCAAUUUGGAAUUGAGGUAUUUCCAAAAGACACAUUACCUUUUUCGGUCUUAUUUAUCUCCACAAAUUCAUCUUUGUGGCCACACAUAUGAUUUGUUGCUCCAUUGUCAAGAUAUCAUGAGCUGCAAUCAUCUUUAUCCUUUUCUUUGAGUGUUAAUAAGAAUGUUGCUCAUCUUCAUCUUUGUUGUUGUCAACAAGAUUAACUUUCUCUUCAACAUUACUCUGACAUUCCAAAGAGUAAUGUCCCAUUUUAUGGCAGUUAUAACACUUAGAUUUGUCAUACCUCAUUUCAUUUGUACGUUGAGAGGAUCCACGUACUUUGCCUCCUCGUUGACCAUGACCACGACCUCUGAAUGACUGGUGACCUUUAUCUUCAUUGUUGAAAUUAUUGGUACAACUUCUUCCUCUUCCAAGACCUCCAAGGCCUCGCCAUUGUCCAUUUUCUUUGUAACUUUUGUAACGUUCAAAUCCUUUGAAGGAUGUAUGAGUUUAAGAAGUUGCUCUAGUUGCUCUUCUUUUCUCCUUUUCAUUUUCUCUUCAUAGGCUAGUAAAGAACCUUCCAAUUGUUCUACCGUCAAAGAGUCUAGUUCUUUAGACUCCUCAAUAGCACACACCACAUAAUCAAAUUUAGAUGUUAAUGACAAAGGAUGUUUUCUGCCGUACGCACAUCAUCUACUUCUUCCCCGUAUCUUCUUAGUUAAUUUACAAGAACCAUCAAUCUUUAGCAGAAAUCCAAAAUGGUUUCGAAUUUUAUUAUUUUUAAAACUUCAAAGUUAGCCCUUAGAGUUUGAAGUUGUACCUUCUUUACUAUAUGAACUCCUUGGAGAGAAAUUUGUAAAAUCUCCCACGCUUCUUUUGAGGUGGUUGCCUCCUCUACAACAUCAUACCAAGAUACGCUAGAUCUCCAGCACUCUUACAUGAUUCCUAAACCACCUACCCCUCAAAACUUAACAAAUCCAAACAGUGAUGGAUAAGAGUGAGGGCCUGUUAAUCUUUCUUUCUUGUCUUUAACAAGACCUCUUUUUCAUUUGAGGGAAAAGUUUCCUCAUUUGCGGGUUUUGUAUACCCUUUGUCUAUAAUAUCCCAAACAUGUUGAUAGCCAAGAAUGACUUUCAUUCAUAGACAUCAUUUUUCAUAUUUUUCUCUUGUGAGACAUGGGUGCUGAAAGGACUACGGACUACUAUUUGUCAUGACUCUGAUACCACGUUGUUGGGAAAAAUGAUAAUCACACCCAUGAUAAUGUCCAAACUAAAUAGCAAUAGGAAGAGAGUAAUAACGACACCAAAUAUAAAAUGGGAAAUAUGAUACCUGAAUAUGUAAUGCAAUAAUCUUGAUGAAAAACUUGGUAGUGCCAAAAGACUACUACUCAACACUCUUUUAUUUCUUAAAACUCAAAAUAAUAUUACUUCCACACUAUUUUCUCACAACAAAGAAGUAGUGUGUGGAUUACUCUCUCUAUUCUCUAUUGCUUCUCUAUUUUGAUGUGUCUUCAAGUGUUCAUUUACAACUCUAUUAUAGAUUUUUUUUGAAGACUUGAUUACAUCAUUAAUGGCAUAAUGUGGUAGCCAAUUUCCACAAAAAAAUUGGCUGCCAAACUCUACCAAACUUUGACUACAUACUUCCACAAAUGUGGAUACCAAUUUUCACAUUGGUGCAUACCAGUUUUCACAUUUGUAGAUAGUAAUUUCAACAAGUAUGGCUGUCAAAUUAAUUGUUGCCAAGAUUUUAUUUACACAGAGAACAAACUAUUAUAAUAUUGCUCAACUUCUUGGAUUAUAUUAGUUUGGUCUACCAUCCACUUCCCAUCAGAUGUCUGUUGGGUUGCCAUGUGAAAGUAUUGAAGUAGUUUUAUCCAGCAACCAUAAAGCUCUAGACUUCUGUUUCCAAAAGUUCUUUUCAUCGUUAUAGGUUUUGAUUAGUUUCCUUUUUAGUAACCUUAAUUUACUCCAGUCAAAAUUACUAGUGUUGUUCCUAAGGGCUGUAAUGUUCACCUUAAUGUCAAUAAUUGUCUUUAUUGCAUUCCCAUUACUCCCCCCCCUCCAAGCCUCCAAAGGUUUACGACUAUGUAUGAUUUUAAAUCUAACUCGAGAUUGCUCAAAGACAUUACAAUCAUACGACCAAGCUUUUGAAAUAAUAUUCUAAACUCCUUCAUGCUUAAUCCACCUUCUAUCAAAGUAAAAUCAUUUUUUCUUCGUAAUUGGUUCCGCAUGUGAAGACAACAUCAAGGAAGAAUGAUCUGAUGCCUGAGUUUCAAUACGUUGCGCAUUCACAUUUGUUGAAUGCCUUGAAUCGGACCCGUUACAAAAGAAAGAACGGGGUCAAUUUGGGCCCUUAAUUAUCUGUCAAUUCUGUAUUUUGGGCCCAAGCCUGUUAGGGCGUAGCUUAGCACUAUAUAUAGACGCUAUGGCAAACCCUAUUCUGAAUUCUGUUUUUGUCUCUCCAUAAUAAAACUGCUCCCUCUCUUUCCCGUGGACGUAGCCAAUUUAUUGGUGAACCACGUAAAUCUGUUGUCUAGUUUUUUACAUUUAUAUUUUCUCGUAUUAUCUCGAAUUCCGCACAACAAAUUGGUAUCAGAGCCUCUCAGUUAAUUGGUGUUCUUGAAGAAUUCGAUAUGUCUGCUUUGAACGUGAAAAUCGACAAAUUCACAGGGAGGAACAGUUUUAGUUUAUGGCAGAUCAAGAUGCGGGCUUUGUUGAAACAGCAAGGCUUCUGGGCGCCGUUGUCGAAAGACAAGAACGCCGUCGUUAUUCCUGAGAUGGCGAUUCUGGAGGAAAAGGCGCACUCGACGAUCAUGCUGUAUCUCGCGGAUGACGUCAUCACAGAGGUCUCGGAUGAAGAGACUGCUGCUGGUCUGUGGUUGAAGCUGGAGAGUUUGUACAUGACAAAAUCUCUAACCAACAAGCUGCUUCUGAAACAACGUCUAUUCGGUUUACGAAUGGUUGAAGGUACACAACUCAGGGAACAUUUAGAGCAAUUGAAUACUUUGUUAUUAGAAUUGCGUAAUAUCGAUGUGAAGAUCGAGGAUGAAGAUGCUGCCCUGAUUCUGUUAGUAUCUCUCCCAAUAUCGUUUGAGAAUUUUGUUCAAUCGUUCGUUGUUGGGAAAGAUACUGUGUCGCUGGAAGAAGUCAGAUCGGCCCUUCAUAGCAGGGAAUUACGACAUAAGGCUAACGGCACAAGUACGAACAUACAGCCUUCCGGUCUAUUCACCAGUAGCGGAAAGGAAAGGAAAAAAGGCGGAAAAAAAUAAGCCGAUGUUGAAGGGUGCAAAGCCGGAUGAUGUUUGUAAUUACUGUAAGGAGAAGGGACAUUGGAAAUUUGAUUGUCCGAAGAAGAAGAAGCAAUCGGAAAAACAAUCAGUUUCUGCUGCUAUUGCUAAAGAAGACACCAAUUCUGAAGAAGACAUUGCCCUAGUUGCGGAUGAGCACACUCAUCAUUCAGAUGUGUGGGUUCUCGAUUCUGGGGCAUCCUAUCACAUCUGUCCUAGGAGAGAGUGGUUCACGACUUAUGAGCAGGUAUACGGAGGCAGUAUCUCGAUGGCCAACAGUUCUGUCUACAAGGUGGUUGGGACAGGCUCGAUCAAGAUAAGGACACAUAAUGGUAGCUUCUGCACAUUGAACGAGGUCAGGCACGUUACAGUGAUGACGAAAAAUCUGAUAUCUCUCAGUUUUUUGAACAGCAAGGGAUUCAGCUGGUUGGGAAAAGAUGGAGUCUUGCGGGUCUGGAAGGGUUCAAAUCUGAUUCUGAAAGGUGUCAUGUGUGGUACUUUGUAUUUUCUACAAGGUUCCACGGUUACAGGUUCAUCCCAUGUUGCAUCGUCAGAAGUUCACCAGGAGGAUAUGACUAAGUUAUGGCACAUGAGAUUUGGUUAUAUGGGUGAAAGAGGGAUGCAAAUUCUGUCAUAGGAGGAUCUUCUUGCUGGUCAUAAGGUUAAGAGCCUAGAGUUUUGUGAACAUUAUGUCUUUGGAAAACUACAUCGCAACAAGUUUCCAAAGGCCAUUCACAGAACAAAAGGCACACCUGAUUACAUCCAUUCUGAUUGCUGGGGUCCAUGCCGUGUUGAGUCUUUGGGAGGCUGCAAAUUUUUUGUGUCCAUUAUUGAAUACUACUCAAGGAUGACUUGGGUGUACAUGAUGAAGCAUAAAAGUGAAGCUUUCCAGAAGUUCAAGGAGUGGAAAAUUUUGAUGGAAAAUCAAACAGGGAAGAAGAUCAAGAGGUUGCAAACUGAUUAUGGGCUGGAAUUCUGCUGGUCUGAAUUUGAUCAAUUCUGUAAGGGUGAAGGGAUUGCUCGACAUCGUACAGUCAGAAAUACACCACAGCAGAAUGGUGUAGCUGAGCGGAUGAAUCAAACACUUGUGGAGAGAGCAAGGUGCAUGCUCUUUAAUGCUGGGCUAGAUAGAAGAUUCUUGGCAGAAGCGGUUAGUACAACUUGCUACUUGGUUAACCGCGGACCACAUAAAAGCAUACAAUGCAAGACACUUAUGGAGAUGUGGUCAAGAAAAGCUGCUGAUUAUUCAAAUCUGAAAGCUUUUGGUUGUACGACUUACUAUCACGUCAGUGAAGGUAAGUUAAAACCAAGAGCUAAAAAGGGAGUAUUUGUGGGCUACGAAGAUGGAGUGAAAGGUUUCAGAAUCUGGUCUCCAGCAGAAAAGAGGGUUAUUAUGAGCAGGAACGUUGUCUUUGAUGAAAGUUCUCUGCUUAGAACCAUUGUUAAGCCUACAACUACGUCAGAAACUGGGAGUCUUGAUAAACAGGUGGAGUUUAAAGUCAUUCAGAACGAGAGCGAUUCGAAAGAACCUGAAGAGGAGGAUCAAGAGCCACAGACAGAAACUGAUUUUUUAGAAUCUAUGCCAUCAGAUAUCCAUCAGAGUAUAGCUCAAGAUCAGCCAAGGAGGGUUGGAGUUUGGCCACCUACGAGGUAUGGUUUUGAGGACAGUGUGGGUUAUGCACUGCAGGUUGCUGAAGAGGUAGAUACAUCUGAGCCGUCUACUUACAAAGAAGCCAUUUUAAGUCCUGAUUCUAAAAAAUGGUUUGUUGCUAUGGGAGAUGAGAUGGAGUCCCUACACAAGAAUCAGACAUGGGAUUUGGUCAUACAACCUUCGGGGAGAUAGAUUAUUACUUGCAAAUGAGUUUUCAAGAAGAAGGAAGGGAUAUCACCAGCAGAAGGAGUCAAGUAUAAAGUCAGGGUUGUUGCCAGAGGUUUCAACCAAAGAGAGGGAGUGGACUACAAUGAGAUCUUCUCACCAGUGGUCAGACAUACUUCCAUCCAAGUAUUACUAGCGAUAGUUACAUAUCAGAAUCUGGAAAUUGAAUAACUUGAUGUGAAGACAGCGUUACUACAUGGAGAGUUGGAGGAAGAGAUAUACAUGACUCAGCUGGAUGGGUUCCAAGUUCCAGGGAAGGAAAAUCACGUCUGCAAGUUGAAGAAGUCCUUAUAUGGACUUAAGCAGUCUCCAAGGCAGUGGUACAAAAGGUUUGACAGCUAUAUGGUAAAGUUGGGCUAUACUCGGAGCUCAUAUGAUUGUUGUGUCUACUACAAUAGGCUCAAGGAUGAUUCAUUCAUCUAUCUGGUGCUUUAUGUAGAUGAUAUGCUGAUAGCUGCAAAGAAGAAGUAUGACAUUCAGAAGCUGAAGGGUUUACUUAGUGCUGAGUUUGAGAUGAAGGAUCUGGGAGCCGCUCGGAAGAUUCUAGGGAUGGAGAUCAUUAGAGACAGAGAGAGAAGAUAACUUUUCUUGUCACAGAGAAGCUACAUUCAGAAGGUCUUGGUGAGGUUUGGCAUGUCUUCAUCUAAGCCUAUUGAUACCCCCAGUGCUGCCAAUAUCCAUCUCACUGCCAUGUUCGCUCCACAGUCAGAAGAAGAGAAGGAGUAUAUGUUACGAGUCCCUUAUGCUAGUGUCGUAGGAAGUUUGAUGUAUGCUACGGUCUGUACAAGGCCAGAUUUAGCACAUGCAGUCAGUGUAGUGAGCAGAUUCAUGGGACAACCAGGGAGAGAACAUUGGCAGGCUGUGUGAAGAGAAUUUUCCGGUACCUUAGAGGUACAUCUGACGUUGGUCUCAUUUAUGGAAGUGAUACUCAGUGCUUUGUUACUGGCUAUUCUGAUUCUGACUAUGCUGGAGAUGUUGACAUAAGAAGAUCGAUGACUUGCUAUGUGUUUACCCUUGGAGGAUCUAUCAUCAGUUGGAAGGCAACUUUGAAACCUACAAUGACUUUGUCUACUACGGAAGCGGAGUACAUGGUCUUGACAGAGGCUGCAAAAGAAGGGAUUUGGCUGAAAGGGCUGGUUAGUGAUCUUGGUCUGCAUCAUGAUCAGGCUACGGUGCAUUGUGACAGUUUGAGCGCAAUUUGUCUAGCCAAGGAUCAAGUCCAUCAUGAGAGAACCAAGCAUAUUGACGUGAGGUAUCAUUUUCUGAGAAGUGAGAAGAGAAUCAAGGUGAAGAAAGUAGGAACUGCUGAUAAUCCUGCUGAUAUGUUCACAAAGCUGGUUCAACAGAGCAAGUUUCAACACUGUUUGGACUUGCUCAACAUCAGAAGCUGUUAAUUGCCCUGCGGGGCAAUUCCGAGGAAGAGGGGGAGGCCUGGCACUAUCAUAGUGCGUCUGAAGAAUCUGUUUGGAGAAUUCAAGUCAAGGUGGAGAUUUGUUGAAUGCCUUGAAUCGUACCCGUUACAACAGAAAGAACGGGGGUCAGUUUGGGCCUUUAAUUAUCUGUCAAUUCUGUAUUUUGGGCCCAAGCCUGUUAGGGCGUAGCUUAGCACUAUAUAUAGACGCUAUGGCAAACCCUAUUCUGAAUUCUGUUUUUGUCUCUCCAUAAUAAAACUGCUCCCUCUCUUUCCCGUGGACGUAGCCAAUUUAUUGGUGAACCACGUAAAUCUGUUGUCUAGUUUUUCAUGUUUAUAUUUUCUCGUAUUAUCUCGAAUUCCGCAAAACAGCAUUCUCGAAUUUAAUUUUUCAAUUAGGAGAGACUAAGACACAAUCUAGCCUUUCCUGGAUUUUACCCUCAAUUUCCCUGUAAAAACAUCAUGUCGAAGGUUUUCCUAUAUCACCUAAGUCAAUUGCACCUAAGUUCCAGAUAAAAAAUUUUCAAGUCUCUAAAGGUCCAAGUAUCUCCACUUCAUUUUCCUUGUUUUUCCAAUCCAUCAAUAAUAUCAUUAAAGUCUCUUAUGCAUUUUUUAACUAAUUCUUGCAUCUGAUAUCUACAAGUGACUCUAUCUGUACUUAUAUACACAAAUAUACACCAAUAUUCAACCACUGAGCCAUCUUGUAUCAAAGUUGCGAUAUAAAAGGAGAAGAAUGUGAUCCACAUACCAGGAUAGUAUCGUUCACAAAUAAAGCUAGACCAACUAAUAAUCCAUCGGCUCCACAGUUACAACGUGCACCAUAUUUACUUGUCUUUGUACCCUCUUAACCAUGCUAUCUCUACUUUUUUGUUUCACUUAAGAAAAUCAUACUUGGAGAGUGAAGACUCAUUGUCACCUUCAAAAAGGAAAUUGUAAAGGAUCCUGCCAGGCCUCAACAAUUCCACACCAUAGCCCUCAUUUUGAAGAGGGAAUCCAUAAUUCUUUGCUCAAAUAAGCAUUCCUGAAAUGUGAAAGGAAAGAAGGACAAAAGGAUUUUGAUAAAAUUUGAAACAUACCGGGAAAGAGGCGAUGGUCUUUGACAUAACUAUAUGAGACUUUGAAUUCCCAUACACAAAAGAAUAUUUGGAUAACCCAUUGGUAGAAAGAUUACUUAAUACGCCCUAAAUCCACGUGACUAGAAUUCGACUACAUGUGUUAAUAAAAUCCACACCUCGACCGCGAAAACAAUUUGAACUAUUUUUAUACAUUUUAUAAGAAAAAUAAAUGUGUUUUUCCAUGUAUGUCAUGUACAUUUCUGUUGUUACAACUCAAUACAACCAUCGGUCUAGGAAGCCUCUCUAUGAUAAUUGAAUAUAAAUAUAAAUUAUUAAGACAAUUUCUGAUAAAAAGAAAAAAAAACAUAUACUAGCUAACAUAAAAUAAAAGUUGUUCCUAAACAUAUAUCUCAAGAAAAGAGUAACUCAGCCUUGUCCUCUAAUUAAUUGCCACGCCUCAUCCUUAAAUAUGGAAAAUAGAGGGGCCCUUAAAGAGGGUUCAGUAGACCAUCGAAAUACUCAAAUAAGUAUUAUUGACUCCGGUUUACUAAAAGAUCCAACUUUUAGUACUGUUAUUACCCUACUAAGAGAUGGAACUAACUAAGAUCGACUGAAAAGGAGGCUCGACUCAUAGGGAGAGUUGUGGAUGUGAUUCUAAGAGCCUUACAAGGAUGAAUACCAUAAAGAAACACAACAAAGUGUCAACCAACUUUGUUAGGAAAUCAAUACAAGUAUUAUUUGACGUAGAACAAACUGCAUUAAAUGUCACAUAAUAAUUUAUUUUACAUUUGAGUCGCGGAGGAUCUAGUGUAAAUUUGAUUCAACUCAACCGUACAUACUUUCAAUUCCAUUCACAAAAUAAUUUAAAGAAAAUCAUCAAAUCCCAUUUAAAUUGAAUUGAAUCAUAAGAAUCAUCUAAACGUUUUAAAAUCUUUUGUACCUUUAUUGGGGAGUAAUAUACUAUUACCAACACAAUAUCCAAGGCCAAAUAGGUGAUCAACUUUGUGACAAAUAUCAUAGAACCUACUAGCUCAUGUUCAAGUCAUCUUCGCGUAGUGUUGCACGAAUCGACUCAACCUUAUUAGGUAGAGUCAAAGUAUACACCGACAGGUGUAGUUUCAAGAUAACGAUCAAAAUUUAUCUGAAGUCAAUCUAUAUAAACAUGACUAACUCCCAAAAUAUUUAAAUAUGUCAAAAACAAAUUUAUGCCCUAGUAGCUACUUAUAGUAAAUCAUGGCGUUCAUAACCAAUCAAACUCAUUUUGAUAGAAUCAAAUGUAAAUUUUUUCCUCAAGUUAUCAAAGCAUAUGUCAAAUGAAGAUUUAAUACUUAAAAUAGUUAACUUUCAAAUAUUUGUCUCUCAGAGAUGUGAUAUUUCUAAUGAUCACUCAACUUUAGGAUUAUGUAUAGUAAAGUCAUCGGAUUUUAUUUUGUAUCAAUAAAAUUACUCAACUUAGACUUUUGAGAUAUCAUUAUUUUCUAAAUAGUUUUUUUUAAUCCCUCUUUUAAAGGGUUAGUGGUUUAUUUUCGCCGAAACAAACCACCUUUUAUUAUUGCAUCAACAAAAUACAUAGUCUAAAUAUAUCUUUUGCAUCCUGGAUGAUCAAACUUGAUAAAAUCUUCUCCCAAGAUAUUUCCUUCGAUGAUCUGAUUGAAUCUUCACUCUCUUUCAUCCCUUAAUGAUAGAAGAUUCAAAAUAUUUCCCAAUAGCAAUUGCUUCAGCACGCAUGAGGCAGGUUCCCAACGCUAUCCAUAGCCACAAUACCUAUACUUGCCCUUCCAUCGUCAUUCUUCAAUCCUGCAUCUGUAAACAAUAAAAUGUCAUCUUGCAAUUUUGUUACUUUAAUCACAAGAUAAUUUAUUGAGGAACUAGACGAAAUACAUUUUUUAGUAACUCUUUAUACUCUUUAUAAUCAAACAUAGAUGUAGAAACAAUAUCUCUUGGUUCUAACCUUUCCUGAUCAAACAACCAACUAUUUGCCAAAUAAUGUUAGCGCUAAAGUUUAACAAGUCAAUAAAUUCAGGAAAAGAUUUGGUAAUUAAGAACAAGUCAUACCAUCAGAUUGAAAAAUCAGUAAUAUUUCCUAUAUCAGGCAAAUUUAUAGAACAAUGCCUCCACUACAAGUUGAGACCAAGGUUUGAAUAACAUAGGUUCUAUAUCUUCAGGUCCAAAAACACAAAUCUUACAAGUCUCAUCUACAUUGUGUUGGUCUUUUUGCCAAAUUACUAUGGAUAGGUAAAGAGUCAAGUACAUAUUUUCUCAAAAAGUGUUUAAGCUUAUUUUCAAGUCCCAACUUCCACAAGAAGUCCCAAAAGAAUUUUGAAAAAAGAGUGACAACUCACUUGAGCUUUCGAGUUUGUCAAUGUCUUACCGAUCAAAUCCUUUGUGAUGUAGUAAUCUGACUUAACUUCAUAGUUUCCUAUUUUUGUAUAGUGCCAUAUUAACCUAUCAUUAUAGCAUGCAAUAGAAAUCAGGAUAGACAAUAUAUUACUAUCAUCUUCUAGUUCAAACAAUGGAUUUAUCUCUUGUAUUUCCCAUGAGUGCAUAUUCUUAUCAAUUGAACCAUCUACUAAAUCUAAAUUUCUAUUUCCAUGGAUACUUUUAGGGAUGAAACCAUUAUUAUUUGGUAUCCGUGGGUCGAUCAAAAAAUUAAUAUUUUUUCAAUCAUAAAUCCUCCUUCUUAAUCCUUUAGUCAAAAGAUCUUUCCCAUAUCCAAGAACCAGAAGAUGAUGUUGAAGCUUUAAAAAAGGUUGAGUUUGGAAAAUAUUUGCUUUUAAGAACUCUUGCUAUUAGAAUUCGCCAAGCUUGCUUAGCAAUAGCACCAUAUCAAAAGUUUUUAGAUUGCUAAAUUGAUCUAGAAUCAUAAUCUAUCCCAUUUCUCUUAAUGCAUCUUUUCUUUCUCCUACCACCUUGCAGCCUAAGUUGACUCUUUCACAAAAUGUUGGACCUUCCUCAUCGAUGACUACUCACAAGGAUAUCAACAAUUACUACAAUUCCCUGAUCAGGGCAACAUGGAGAAAAAACUGAGUCUGUGGUUGAUGAAAGCUUACAAAAACCAAUUUCGUGCAGCUUGACACCUUGUAUUUUCUUUAAUAAACCUAAGGGAUGCCGUAAAGGAUUCUCUUGUCACGUUCUGCAUGAUAUAUCUGGUAAAAAGUGGUCUGGGAGGACAUCAGAAGAUCAGGAUUCAAAGAGACUGAAGUAAAGUAUGGAACAUUAAUAUGGCAUGACUCAAAGAGGUUUUUUUUAAAAUACAGGGAACAAGUGACAAAGGCAGUUGCGCAACUAUUUAAACAAAAGCACUCAUCCCUUGAGACGCGGACUUUUAAAAAAUUAGAAUCUGAUUUUGGCUUGAAAGGAAAUUUUUCUUUGAAUUUUGAUGAAGCAUUGUUUCGCCUUGACAAUAUUUCUAUUCCGAUAAAUCAUUGUUUUGCUCUCUUAAUUGCAAUCGCAGUAUGGCAUCGGCUAUAGCCGUCCCCACUUUAAAAACUAAAACUUAUGUACUGUUGAUAUUCAAUAAUGAAUUCAAGAUGUUAAUUUGAAUUUUAAUCUGAUUCAACGGGAAUCAAUAAGGUAUGGAAGCAUUUGAUAGAACAAAGUGUAUUAAAUUAUUUCAAGCCAGUGAAAAUAGUACUAGCAAAUAAUAACAAUAAUGAGAUGAUUACAUUACCCUUAAAUAUAAGCGAGUACGAGAGGGACGAACAUGGAAUCAUAUAGUAGUUCAAAAAGCAUUCUAAAGUAUAAAGUAAUAUUUUGUUCUGUCUUGCCCAAUUUUACAAGCCAUGGUCCUUUUAUAUACAUGUGUAAGAAACUGAAAUCAUCUCUUCUCUUUGAUAGUUUGAUUUUCUAUUACUUUCUCUUCCGAGUCUUGGAAUUGGUAAGCCUUGUUAACGUUUUUUUUCCAUCUGUUUUUCUCUUCAAUGUUUAUCAUUCAAUCUCAAAUUCAGUUCUUCAGUGUUAUUUAUUAGAUUAUUUUUAUUUUGGUAGGAUUUUGUUCUUGCAUGUUCCUAAUUUGGCUUAAUUCAUACUCAUAGAAGUUUGAUAAUUGUUGUUCGUUCCCCUUCUUAUUCUUCUCACUUCUAUCUUUCUUUUCCUUGGGAAGUUUACGUUUUUGAUAGCCACAAUCUGUUAGGUAUUCUGUUUCUUCCUCUUUUAUUGUGCAUUCUCCGCUUUUUGAGUAGUUUACUGUAGAAUUUUGUAAUUUCAUGUUUCUAAUUGGGUUUUAUUUACUCAUGCAUGUUUCAAAAUUGUUUUUUCCCUUGAUAUUCCUCUCGCUAUUUUCUGCUCUAGCAGGGCUUCUCACAAUCGAUUUUUGAUUUUAUUGUUUUACCCUCUUUCUUCAUGAUAGACACCUCUAAUUUUUUUUAGCGUUUUCUAAUUAAUGUGAAUCUUGAUAUGUUACUGAAGAUGAUCCUUUUGGGGGAUGGGAGGAACUCGAAAAAAAAGGACCUAUACAUGUUCUUCUGGAGCAUUGACUGACCAUAAAAUUAUAUGUGAUAAUUUAAAAUUAAAUAUGCAAAAUACAUAUAAAUUGAAAACUCCAAAUAUUAGUAGGACCUAUUUGAUAGACACGACAAAGUGAACAUACAUAGAAAGAUUUUUAGGGAUGGUUAAGAUUAAAGAAAUGAAAUGAUGCCAUGGCGAAACAUGUUGAUUCUAAAGUUGGAAACAGUGGUGUAAAGAGUCACAUGAUGCUGGUGAGGAAUAUUAAGGAUUUGCUUGAGGAACUCGACCAAGUUUUUGCUCAUGGAGGAAAUGAAAGCAAAAAUUGUUGUGUUUGGAUCUUCAAGCACAGGUCCGGAACUCGAACCAUUCAUACCAUCAAAAACAAAAAAAGGUGAUCUUCUUCACUAACUACGGUUAAAAUUUGGUUCUUUCCCCUGACUUUUGAUUUAAUAUUGAUUGAAAUAUAAUGUCACUUAGAUAUGCUACUUUUCCCAUUGUCUUGAAUGUGCUUAUGUUGUCCAAUAUAAAAAGAUAUCUUCCUCAUUUUGAAAUUUUUAGUACUUAAAAAGACAAAUAAGCUUGGAUUCUCAAAUGAAUGAUAUAGUCUAUCUCGGCUAGGUAGCACAGACUCUUCCCUAAGUCUCAUCUACAUUGUGUAAGUCUUUUUGCUAAAUUACUAUGGAUGGGUAAAGAGUCAAGUACAUAUUUUCUCAAAAAGUGUUUAAGCUUAUUUUUAACUCCCAACUUCCACGAGAAGUCCCAAAAGCAUUUUGGAAAAAGAGUGACUACUCACUUGAGCUUUGGAGUUUGUCAAUGUCUUACCGAUCAAAUCCUUUGCGAUGUAGUAACCUUACUUAACUUCAAAGUUUCCUAUUUUUGUAUAGUGACAUAUUAACCUAUCGUUAUAACCUGCAAUGAAAAAUAAAAAAAAGUGUAAACCGAAAACAGAAAUCGAAAUUUUGAAAAAAUUUGUUCAGUUCGGUGUUUCAAUUUUUCCGGUGUUUAUGCCCACCCCUACCGCCUAACUUGCUUAGCUAAUAGAUCCAUAUUAAAAGUUUUUAGAUAGCUAAAUUGAUCUAGAAUCAUAAUCUAUCCCAUUUCUCAUAAUGUACAAUUUAGAAUCAUAAUCUAUCCCAUUCUCAUAAUGCAUCUUUUUUUUUCUCCUCUGUUUGUCCCACCAAAAAUUUGAAAAGAGGGAUGUAAUUUUCUUACACAGCAGGGAAUUUUUUUCUUCAAAUUUCUCCUUAACGAGUUUUAUAAUUUGCCACUGAACAGGUAAAACUUAUCGAAAAGAGGAUUGCCAAUCAGAAGUUAGGAGCAGAUCUCAACAACAUACACAUCAAAGCAUCAACGGAUCAUCAUCUAAAAGAAGAGAUUGCUUGAAGAAGUCAGAAGAGAGACUUUCUUCAAAAUAUUUGGCUAUAUGGAAAUGCCCUCCCAAGGUAAUCUUAGAUUAGAUGAUAGGAAUUUCCUUUAUUCGAAUAGUUUAUGUACACAUUGUUGUGAUAACCCCAUUAACUGUUGUUAUUUGUAGUUCCAGUUAAAUGAGAAAUGGCUAGUGGAUGAUGGUGAGGAGAGUCAAGACGCUAGUAAGCAGGAGAAUAGGAAAAUGAGGGUGAUUGAGGCAGUUUUCCCUAACAAGUUUGCAAUUCCUCCAAAGUAACUAAUUUUUGGAUUAUUUUUUAAAUGUUUCGUAGCUUUCGUUGUCUUAAUUUUACUUGGUUUUAAUCUGUGAAUAUUUUUCUUUCUUUUUUAACAGUUCUUACAACUUGUCUAACCUGGAACAAGGUUAUGAUGAUAGUCAAACUCAAAUAGUCAGAACCAUUUCUAUAGAAGAAGAAGCACCAUUGCAUGAUUUGACAGUUCUUAUAGCCACAGUUGUAGCUGCACUUCAAGAGCAGGGUAGUCUGAUUGAUGCCAAUUUAUUUGUUAGGCUUCUCCUCAACCGGAUGAAUGAACGUGGCAUGGCUACCAAUGUUGUUUCUCUCAAUGCUGCGCAAGCAGAAUCUGCAAAAUCUGUGCCCUUGACAAUGACUAAGCCUAACAUUAGAGAGAGUAAGUCAAUAAUCUAUUCAACUUCAGAGCUUGAUCUCAAAAAUAUCAAGAAAUCAUUAGCAAAUAUGGUGUACAUUACAAUGCAAGAGGAGAAAUUUCUGAGUUGGUUUCCAGAUAUGGUCCUAUCACCUUGCAGCCUGAGUUGACUCUUUCACCAAAUGUUGGCCCUUCCUCCAAGAUGAAUACUCACAAGGAUAUCAACAAUUACUGCAAUUCUCUGAUCAAGCAACGUGGAGAAAAAACUGAGUCUAUGGUUGAUGAAAGCUUACAAAAACCAAUUUCGUGCAGCAGGACACCUUGUAUUUUCUUUAAUAAACCUAAGGGAUGUCGUAAAGGAUUCUCUUGUCAUUUCCUGCAUGAUAUAUCUGGUAAAAAGAGGUUUGGGAAGACAUCAGCAGAUCGGGAUUCAAAGAGACUGAAGUAAAGUGGGGAACAUAAAUAUGACAUGACUCAAAAAGGUUUUUUUUGAGAAUACAGGGAACAAGUGACAAAGGCAGUUGCGCAGCUGUUUAAACAAAAGUACUCACUCCUUGAGACGUAGACUUUUAACACAUUAGAAUCAGAUUUUGGCUUGAAAGGAAAUUUUCCUUUGAAUUUUGAUGAAGCAUUUUUUGCAUUGACAAUAUUUCUAUUCCGAUAAAUCAUUGUUUUGCUCUCUUAAUUGCAAUCGUAGUACGGCAUCGGCUAUAGCCGUCCCCACUUUGAAAAUUAAAACUUAUGUAUUGUUGAUAUUCAAUAAUUAAUUCAAGAUGUUAAUUUGAAUUUUAAUCUGAUUCAACGGGAAUCGAUAUGGUAUGGAAGCAUUUGAUAGAACAAAAUGUAUUAAAUUUUUUCAAGCCAGUGAAAAUUGUACUAGCGUAUAAUAACAAUAAUGAGAUGAUUACAUUACCCUUAAAUAUAAGCGAGUAAGAGAGGGACGAACAUGGCAUCAUAUAGUAGUACAAAAAGCAUUCUAAAGUAUACCGUGAAUGCUUUAAUAUUUUGCUCUGUCUAGACCAAUUUUACUAGCCAUAGUCCUUUUAUAUACAUGUCUAAGAAACUGAAAUCAUCUCUUCUCUAUGAUAGUUUUAUUUUCUAUUACUUUAUCUUCUGAGUCCUGGAAUAGGUAAGCCUUUUUAACUUUUUUUUUCAUUUUUUUCUCUUCAAUGUUUAUCCCUUAAUCUCAAAUUCAGUUCUUCAGUGUUAUUUAUCAGAUUAUUUUUAUUCUGGUAGGAUUUUGUUCUUGCUUGUUCCUAAUUUAGUUUAAUUCAUACUCAUAGAUGCUUGAUAAUUGUUGUUCGUCCCGUUCUUAUUCUUCUCACUUCUAUCUUUUUUUUCCUUGGCAAGUUACAUUUUUGAUAGUUACAAUCUGUUAGGUAUUUAAUUUCUGCUCUUUUAUUGUGCAUUCUCUGCUUUUUGAGUAGUUUAUUGUAGAAUUUUGUACUUUCAUGUUUCUAAUUGAAUUUUAUUUACUCAUGCAUGUUUAAAAAUUGUUUUUCCCUUGAUAUUCCUCUCGCUAUUUUCUUCUCUGGCAGAGCUUCUCAUAAUCGAUUUUGUAUUUUAUUGUUUUUAACCUCUUUUCUUCAUGAUAGACACCUCUAAAAAAUUUUUAUCUUUUUCUAAUCAAUGUGAAUCUUGAUAUGUUACUGAAGAUGAUCCUUUUAGGGGAGGGGAGGAACUGGAAAAAAAGACCUAUACAUGUUCUUCUGGAGCAUUGACUGACCAUAAAAUUGUAUGUUUUAAGUAAAAAUUAAAUAUGCAAAAUACAAAUAAAUAGAGAACUUCCAAAUAUUAGUAGGACCUAUAUGAUAGACACGACCAAAGUGAAGAUAUAUAGAAAGAUUUUUAAAGGAUGGUUAAGAUUCAAGAAAUGAAAUGAUGCCAUAGUCGGAACAUGUUGAUUCUAGAGUUGGAAAGAGUAGUGAAAAGAGUCACAUGAUGCUGGUAAGGGAUAUCCAAGGUUUUCCAGAGGAACUCCACCAAGUUGUUACUCAUGGAUGAAAUGAAUGCAAAAGUUGUUCUGUUUGGAUCUUCAAGCGCAGGUCUGAAACUUGAAACAUUCAUACCAUCAAAAAGAACAAAAGGCGAGUCUUCUUAACUAACUAUGGUUAAAAUUUGGUUACUUCCCCUGACUUUUGAAUUAAUAUUGACUGAAAUAUAAUGUCACUUAGAUUUGCUACUUUCCCCAUUGUCUUGAAUGUGCUUAUGUUGUCCAAUAGAAAAACAUAUCUUCCUCAUUUAGAAAAUUUUAGUUCUUAAAAAGACAAAUAAGUUUGGGCUCUCAGAUGAAUGAUAUAGUCUCUCUCGUCUAGGUUGCACGGUCUCUUCCCUUACGUUGACACAUCCAUGUCGAAUUCUUCAAAAAUACAUUACUUUUGAAGAAUUCAAUAUAGGCACUCGGUAGUGAAAACCAUCAAUAGGAACUAUAUGGACUAAACUAACAAAGAUGGUACGUUGGUUAUUCAAAUUUCAUUGUUGCCUCAACGUUCUAGAUAUACAGGUAAAUUUAUAUGUGCAUUCUGUUAGAUUACCAGAAACAACUUUAGCUUUAACCUCACGAUAUCAGUUGAUUAUAUUCGAAUUUGAUAUUUCAUGUUUUUGUAUUAUUGUAGAGAAUUAUAAGAGGCUACUA